CCUUCCUUUCUUUCUUUCUUUCUUUCUUUCUUUCUUUCUUUCUUUCUUUCUUUCCUUCUUUCUUUUUCAACCAAAGUUUUUAGUGUUCAGGACAGCAAAGAGGCAGAUAUUGUGGCUUGAAACAAAACACAGCAAUAUAAAAAGAAGCACACUUUUUGUGUGUGUAUAUGUAUGUACAUGCACAUGUGUAUGUGUAUUUAUGGAGCUAUGCCACAUAUAUACAGGUUCUUAUGGAGGUCAGAAAGGGACUCCAAUUGCCCAGAAUUUGACUUGUAGGCUGCUAGGAGCUACCUGAUAUGGGUUCCAGGCAAGUCCUGUUGAAAGAAUAGCAGUGUUCUUAAUCACUGAGCCAUCUCCCCAGCCCCAUGAGAAAACUUCUCAGAAAACAUCUACCCAACAAUAGAGAUUUUAACUAAGUGAAUUUGUCAAUAACUGUACUUGAGAGAAAACAACACAUGAAAAUGAGAUGAUCUCUUUUUUGAACUACCCAAAGAAGAAGAAAGAGUUAUGAAAUAUAACUAAACAGCCUAAGAAUGCCUUUGAAUUUUGAGAACAUUUUGUUUUCCUGUAUAUAUUCCUUAUCAUAUCUUGGCAUUACAACUUGGACAAUGACUGCCUACUAUUACUUAUAAUUACAUCAUAAGCAUGAUGUCAUAAAAAGCUGUGAUGCUAGGACUCUGGAAGCUGAGAACAGAGUAAGCCACCAGACCUAUAUGGUCCACACAUGGAGAUGCUGCCUCAAAAAUCGCCGUCUUUAGAAGUACAACCUGGGAUAUGAAUUUUGUACUUAUCUUCCCAUCAAGAAUCAUUUUUCCUGAAUCAAGAGCCACCAGAAAUAUGUCAUUUGUGUGCACGUAGGCAACCAUUCUCCCUUCAUAAUUUUUGGAAGGUCUUCUGGACAGGUUAAAACUGACUUGCACCAUUGCCAAAUUUACUUUAGCUUUUAUUUCUCCUCCCGGGGCUUUGGAAGCAUUAAGAAGUUCAGCUUUGCUUAAGGUUAGCGGGUCAUAAAUAAACCAAAGCAAUUUCUUUGCUUUGAGCAAGAGGGUCAGAGAAUACAUGAAAUAUCACUUUUAAGCAAAGCAAACUUUAACAUGAAUUGACAGAGGAGCAUGAAAAAGAAGCACAGUGCGCCUCAGUAAAAGGCCACAGGGAUUCGGGAUGCUGGGCUUGUCUGUUUUAGAAAUAGACUGUAUAUCUUGUUUGAUGACCUGUAUUUAAUUUAAGUGACUGCCUCUGCCAGUCCUUUCCAGAGGGCAAGUGUGUGAAAUAGAGCAUCUCACUGUCACUCUGCAGCCCUCUCUUCUGCCGGAUGCCUUGACCUGAAUUGGGAUGGGGGCAUUGAUCUGACAAAUGAGAGGGAAGGAGAUGGCGCUGCCACGCACAUUUCAUCCUUAAAUUCUAGUCAGCUGGAAAUUGUCUUCGUGGUCUGGGGUAGGAACACAUUCAUAAGCUCAUUAAAAACUAGUUUUCUGCUGUGAAUAUGACUCUUUUCAAAAUGCAAGAAGUAAGAAAUGUCAUACUCGCAGUAGGAAACAUUACUGCCUCCUCCUUUCCAAAGCAAGCGCAUGCCCUCUGUGAAAUAUGAUGAAGAAGAUUCCAGAAUGACUGGAGUUGGUGUUCUCAAGACGCCACUUCUUAAUGUCCAUGUCUAUUUCUGUUGGGGUAUCAUUUAUCUGUUCAAGAAAUCUCAUGAAAUGUCUCUGCUCUAGCAAUUUUCUCUUCCCAGUCAGACAGAUAAGAGCUCAAGUUACAAGUGCUCACUCUUUGGGAUUAUUAUCAUAAUCACAGGGUCCUCUGCCCAUCUCAGUAGGAAAGGUGAAAGCAUCAGAGAGGCCAAAAUGGAGGCAGUACGGUUAAAGAGCUCAGCGGAGACCAUAGGCAUUGGUCUCCACCGAAGGGAAAUAGGACAGUCACGCCAAAGCUUGACUGAAAGACAGUCAUCACUUUAGAGAUGAGGGCCCAUAGGAAUGAUACUCCUCUCUUUCAGCACUGUUGUAAUCUACAUUAUUCGCCCUACAAAAUGUCUUAUCGUUUUGCUUUCUGAAAGUAAAAUGUCCUAGUAGUCUAUUUAAUAAAAAUGUCAGUGAUUGAAACAAACAAACAAAUAAACAAAACACUGGAUUGAUUUUUAAUGUACAUAUCAGCUACAUUUAAGUAUAAGAAACCCACACAGUUUAGUGUAAUACAUAUACAUCAUAAAUAUUUUAUGCUUUCCAUUUAAAAACAAUAUACAAACUGAAAUGUUUACAGUAAUAAAAAAAGACUUAAAAAUGAACCAAUAUAACUCCAACAUGAACUUCUCCUUUAUUUGCAGAUAUUUUAAAUAUAAAUGAACCUUAUAUUUAUUUUCUAUUACAUCUAUUUGGGACAAAGGGCACAGAUAUGCUAGGCCUUUCAUACAGAGGCCAGAGGAAACCUUUCAGGAGUUGUUUUUUUCUCUUUCUACCAUGCAAUGAUGGGGAUCUAAUUCAAACUGAUAGGCUUGGUCAGCAAGAGCCUUUAGUUGCACAGUCAUCUCAUAUCUAUACUUUUACAUUUCUUUAGUCUUUUAAGAUGCCUAGUCAGGCUGGCCUCAAAUUCUUGAUCUUCCUGUCUGUCUCAGCCUCUCAAGUGGUGGGACUAUUUAUGGUAAGUGUGAACCACCAUGUUUGCGUAUUGAACAUCCCUUUCUAAUACCCAACAAAUAUUAUUUUGCUUACAUCUCUCACUGUAGAAUAACUGUUAUCAUAUGCUGCGUUUUUAAAUGUGGCAGUAGUUGAAGUCUACAUUUCAUCUCUGUUUGUGAAGUUUUCUGUGCAGUACUUUAAAAAGGAGCACCUCCGAGGUGAUACGAGAAAAUGAACACAAGAAGAGUACUAGAACUCAGGCAAAGGCUUGGGACUCGCCACAAGGGCUCAGUUAUAUAAGCCCUCUGCCUGGAUAAAAUCUGCAUAAUAAAAUCCUUCUCAUUUAGACCACCUAGUUUCUGUAAAACCUCCAUGUAACAGAUACUCUAUAAAGUAUAGCAUUCCUUCCAAUCAUUACUUAAAGGCCAAAUUAAGUCCAGGUCUCCUAAGUAUUUAAUGUCUUCCCAUUAAAAAACAAAACAAAACAAAACAAAACAAAACCUGUCUUUUAAAUUCUAAAGUUGAAAUUCUCAUAUAUAGACACACAUGCCCAUAUACAAUGUUCUUAUAAGUAUAUGCAACAAACAUUUACUUUUAAUUGCAUGUUGUCAAGCCCAGAAAGCCAGGCUGCGCUGCUGCAUUCCCAGCAAGCUAGAAUGCUCUGUAGCAGUGGUGUUCUUACCUGGCUGGUAGGUGGUGGUGACUGACAGGCAGGAAGAGUUCUUUCUAGACAGGUACUUCUGAAGACGGUGAUGGCUACGUAAAAGUAACAAUUAAUCUUAAGCUCUUCUAAAGUUAGGAGCCCUUGAUUAACCUGAUGUAUCUGUCUUUAUCGUCAGCACUAUGGCAGUGUGAGGACGGUGAUUAUUCCUGAUCAUCUGUCAAAAUGGUUGCUUGUCCUUGGGCUUCUGUCCUACAUUGCUUUAAUUUAAAUCAUUAUAUCACACAGAUGUGCACAACUGUGCUUAAGAAAUUUAACCAGGCAUCAUUUAGAAAAUGGUGUCCACUAGAAAACCCUUUCAGUUCUCUCUGUGUGUCUCUCCCUCCCUCCCUCCCUCCCUUUCUAGUGUGUUGUGUAUCUGAUGUAUGUAUUUUCUGAAAUUGAUAAUUCUUCCUAAAACAAGGAAAGAGGGAAAUAGAGAAAGAAGAAACAGAGUUUAUUUUAUUUCCCCAACUCAAGAACUAUUUUAAAUAAAUCAGGCUGAAAUAUCCAAAGUAUUUUUAAUUUUUAAGUAAUUAUUACAUAAAUCCCUUGUUUCUCUUUCUUUUACUCCCUCCAAACUCCCUCCUAUGUAGAUCUGUUAUUUAGAAUUGCUAAUUAAUUGGUGCAAUCUUUUCUGGGGAAAACUGUUUUGUCUACUUUCAGCAUUCCUUAGUUUCUUAUAUUUCUUUGACUCGUUAAUGAUAGAGCCAAAUAACUCAUUGAUAUGAAAAAUUAACUAGGGUUAAAUUAUGUUUCCAUAGAGCUCACAAUGACUGAAAGUCACAAUAACGUGAAACUUAGAACAAACACUGAAAUAAACCAUUGAGCCAGAAUUGAAGCGAGGAUCCUGUUCAUGAAAAACUUACAGUCCUAUCAUGACUACAGACGGUGGCAUUGACAUAGUGGGCAGUGGUUAAUUUUUAUAGAAAAAAGGUCCCCCAGAGCUCCCAGGACUCUUUACCGCCAACCAAAGAGUACACACAUGGGAGAAGCCAUGACUCCAGCUGAAUAUGUAGCAGAGGAUGGCCUUAUAGGGCAUCACUGGCAAGGGAGCCCCUUGGUCCUGUGGAGGCGAUGACCCAGGGUAGGAAUGCUAGGGUGCUAAGUGCUAAGGCAGAAGUGGGAGGUGGGAUAGGGAGCACCCUCAUAGAGGUGGGGGGAGGGGACAGGAGGGUUUUUUUUUUUAGGGGAAACUGGGAAGGGGGUAACAUUUUAAAUGUCAAUAAAUAAAAUAACCAAUAAAAAUGAAAAUGAAACAAAACAAAACAAAAAUAAGUGUCCUGCCCUUGAUCCAAGACUGUGUAACAGUUGACUCCUCCCUUGACUGGGAAAGGACAGAUAUGUUAACUACAAUUCAAAGUAAUUUUAACAACAUGAAUUGAUCUUUGAAAAUUGAAAAGCAUACACAUAUUAGAAUAAAUCAAACUUUUUCUGGAAAAAGAAUAAAUCAGAAUCUUUGGAAAGAAGCAGAGCUCUUAUUUAUGCAAUUUUUGUUUCCAGUGAAAGAGAUCUAGUAUACACAAUCACAAAAAGCUAAACACAAGACGCCAAUCUAGGCUCUUAAGAUUUUGUUUCACUUGAAACAAGACAUUUCAUUUUUCUGUCUAGAAUGUUAUAUUAUAAAAAUAGUUGAAUUUUUAGGUUUUAAGAAUACAAUUGAACAUCUUUCAAAAUUUCUGUGUUACAUUCAAAAUUCAGUCUCUAACUUAUUCUCUUAAGCUCUCUAUUUUUUGAACUGCAUUCUUUACUUACUAUGUCAUUAAAAUACUUUACUGUUUUCAUAGUUUUAUAAGAUAUUGUAGAUAUAUUUCUGGCUUCAUAAAUUGUCCAGGCAUAUGUUCUCUCAAUCAACAGGGAACCAAAUGUUCUAUACAUUACUCUGUGUGAACAAUGCAUAUAAUACAACUUAUCUUCUGCAGGAUUUUAGUGAGCCUUAAGUUUGUUGUAAAAAAAAAAAGAAUAAUUGAGAUUGUGGGAGAGGGUUUAGCAGCAACAAUAAAUACAUUUCAAAAUAAAAUCUGUGGGAAUUAAAAAAUUAUAAUUUUUUAUACUUAUAGCAGUCAUGAUAUCUUUCCAGGUAACUCUUCUGCAUGGUAUAGAAGAACACAAAACAUUUGAAGUAUAAUCCACCUUUCUAUAAAAUGUUGAUUAUGGCAUGAAACAUAUUAAAUGAUCAUAUUUGAAUAUGAAAUAUGAAAAAUUAUGACUUUUUCUAUGAGUUUUGGUAUAUAUUGCAAAAAUUGGAUGUUUGUUUUAUUGUCUCAAUAAAAAUUGCUGUGUUAAGAGUGAAUAAUCCAAGCAGACGAUGGUGCGCGCUGACCUUCAGGGAUGGAGCCAGGUCAGUUGUGUCGUCUUCAUACAUCCAUGAGGCCAAGAAAAAAUGUCAGCAAACAUUAAAAACUCAAUGUCAUCAAUAUCAUAUUCCUAUGAAAGAUCCAUGACAUUAAACAUGUUGGCUCAAGUUAUAUAUCAAAUAUAUCAUAGCCAUGUGUUUGAAUUACUCCAAGCAUGGAGGCAUUGAUCUUUGACUCUGAUAACUGACCUGUUGCCUAAUGAUCCUAUAUUUUGAUAGCUCCUAUUUCUUAGUUUCUUAGAUAAAGAAUAUUUCUAGAGGGCUCCACCAUUAUACAUUUUUAAAUAGUGCAGAGUAACAAAGUUAUUUAAUAAAUAACCUAUAAUUUUUCUGCUCCUAAAUCUAGCAUCAGGUCAUCAUAGUCCCUGAACAAUAGGAUCUUGUGAAGGCUAGAGUGACUGCGAUAAUAAACUGGAAAAAGGAAAACACUUAAUUUAGACAUCAUUUGAUUUAUGUCAACGUGAAAAUAUUCUUUUUAAAGGGUCUGUUAUACUCUAGACACUUUAGCAAUGCUAUUAUACAUUGUGACUUUGUUUCUUUAGAAACUUACUUGAAAACUAUACCAUACUUGAAUGUGUCUCCAUAGAAGGAGAGACAUGAGAUCAUUUUUCCAUAAUGAAAACUGACCACAUCUUCUCUGUUGGGGUGCUUUCUUCUGAAUUUACAUAUUUUCAGAAAUAUCAAUGGGCUUAAGUUUUCAAAAUCUAUUUGCUAUAAAUGAGAGUUUGUCAAGGACAGGAGUGAACAACCUUUUAUAUUUCUAGCAGAGUAGGAAAUUACGGUUGGCUUUACUGUGUAUAAUUCUAAUACAAUGCCCUGUAAUGAUGAUUAGUCUCGAUAGGGAAUACUUUAAAUCAAAAACACAAUGUCACUGUACUCUACUUUUCAAAGGUAUUCUGAACUAAAUUUAUAAGCAAUUCAUCUCCUGUAUCAUUCAUGCAUGGUUAUUGGAAAUCAACGCAGAGGAAAACUGGCCCGAUUGACCUGUUUAUAUAACUACUUUCAACAAUUCAUUAACCAUUAAUGAUAUACAGGCUUUUUGCUUCCAUUUUUUAAAGAUCAAAAAGUGUAUUGAUUCAAUAAUUUUGGUUCAAACUCAGUUUAGGCACUGAAAAGAAAUCCCCUCUGCAAAUGUAAGCAAACAUACUAUUUUUCCUACGUUCCUGUCUUAAACCUCGAUUUUACCAUUGCCUGGAGGAUGCUAAGCAGCUGCAACAUUCCAAUCAUGUGAGUGAAGCACACAACUGCAGAGGAAGUUAGAUUUCCUGGAAUAGGGGCCAUGCAUACACUGAUUUUUUUAAAAGAAAUUAAGCUUAGUUUUAAAUUUCAAACAUGCACAUUGUAAACAAAUCCACGAAUGUGAAGUACUUUAUAGAGAAAAUGGUUUUACUAUACAAACAACCAGAACAAAUAUUACCCAAAGGAUAAAGAGAAACACUUUAAAAAUUGCACUUAUUCUAUAGUUUAAUUGGCAUUGAAUCAAGAAUAUUGAAUAAUUUUGGACAAGAUUAAAAUAGUGCUGAGAUCUGAUGACCACUGUGAGCUGAGUCCCUCUUCCCUUUAUCAUCUAAUGUCUAAAAAUGUAUUUACUUCUAUUCUUAACACUAUUUCAUUUGUCCAUAUUGGAAAACAUAUUUUUAUCCAAAAUUACACAAGCAAUCUCUGUAAAUUGCAUGUGAUAUAUGCACCUGGAGACUUAAAGGUCUUUUGAUAUUUCCAGGUGAUAUUUAAAACGAGGGAAGAAUAUGUUAGUCUGGGGAUGGGACCCAGACUCUAACCUCAAUGUUACGUAUUUCCCUGUGAAAUGAUUUUCUAAAAAUGAAAGGGACAUUUAAGACCCUUAUCCAAGCCCAUCCUUCUUUGAUGUGAGUCUCUCACACCAAAAUGUAUGCCUGUAACCCCGAGUUGGGCAGAGACAGGUGGAUCACAGUAGUGUAUGGCAAACCAACCUAUACAAAAUGAUAUGUUUCAGGUUUGAUGAGAUACUCUGAUUCAAAAAAUAAGUCAAAAAUUCGUGAAAGAUGAAACUUGGCAUCCCCUUCUGGCCUAUUCAUAUGCAUUUGCAGAUGACCCCUCCUGCCCCUGACUCGACAUGGGUGUUACUGUCACUCUGUCUCCUCUUUCGUCUUUCCACAAGCAUCUUUUUCAAAGCUCCAAUUUACACUGUAACUUGUGGUCCUCAUAUCUUCUUGAAAUUGCAUUUCUUAAUGUUACAUUGCAUUUCUGCUUUUUUUUGUCAAAGGAAGAAAUUUAGAACAACAAACCAAAUUAGUCACCUGAAAAAAAAAAGAGGAUUCCCCAACAUUGCUUCAAACACAUUGACUGGCCUGUAGACCCAAUUCAUUUCUCCCUACACCUUAUAUUUAACUAAGAAAAAUCAUGAUGAAAUUCAGAGGCAUUAUCACCCUAGAGAAAGAGUUUUGAAAAUAUACUACAUGUCAAUCUACUUUUACCUUUAUUUCCUGGUUAAAAACAAAAUAGACAAAGACAAACAAAACCCCUACCAUUUCAGCAAUAACAUUUUUUAAAUGUAUCUGUUUUACUUUGUCAAGAAAGAAAAUGUCUACUAAGUGGAAGUUUAUUAAGCUAAAAUCUCAUCUGUUAAUAAUUUCACAUUAUUAACUGUGUGGCAGAAUUAUGACAAAAGGCACUUUGAAAUGAAUUAUUAAAUUUUAGAAAAUAAUCCAGAUUUCAGUGUCCAUACAAAGUACUCUUUAUUCUGCAGCAUUUCAAAUAAACAAAACUGUGAGAUAACUUUUACAUUAUCCUAAUUAACCCAUGAUUUGAUGGAAACCUUUGGUGGAAUUCCACUAUCUUUACUCUGACAUUAGAUAAUUUAUAUCAGAAAGCUAAAAAUGUCCCUUGGAGAGACAGAGUGUCAACCAUAAGCUCUCAUUCCUGCUAUGGGAAAUAACUGGAGGCAUAUGGAGAAAAGAAUGGGAAGGACCUCAAUUUUCCUCAGCCCUUAGACAUAAUUUUUACUUUACUGCAAGCUGCGUGGAAAGCAUACAUUUUAUAAGCCUUUAUAGUUACUAAAGUUAUGUUAUUGGAAUGGACAGUGAAAUUUUAAAAUUAGAUGUACAUUCAUUAUUAUAAAUUUGCAAUACUUUGGGAGAAAUAGUGGAAUUAAGAUACACACAACAUACUGGAAAUUAAAAACAUCUGUCCCUAAAAUUCAGUACAUUCACACUCUUGUAAACAGCAUAUGUUUUCAAACAUGACUUUCUUCCUUAGCACAGUUGCAUGUGUCUACUGCAUGGUGGGGGCUGGAGAGGAAAAACACAUGUAUUCGAAGUUUCUUAGUGGAUGAAGCUGCAAAAGCCUGAGCCGUUACAGUUAGUCCAAGCAUGACAGAAUGCUUCUAUUUGAAGGAAACUAUGACGGAGUUCAGCAUAAUGAUGUUCCCAGAACUUAUUUUCAUGCUUUUAUACAUGUGAUAUAGGAUCUGUCCUCAGACCUCAGUUAUCAUUUUUAUAGGUUUAAGGAUGCUAUAGGAGAGCUAUAUAAAAACAGCUGUUCUGGAAGAGAUUUUCUGCAGGAAUAAAGAUAAAGUUGGAGGAGGUAGUGAGUGGGGUUACUUUCUGGCUUUACAAUUUGCUUUGGGAUUCCCCACAUAUCAUAAACAGAGAGAAUUGCCACAAAGCCUUACAAAGACACAAGAAAGUUUCAGGAACAGGGAGAUCAAAACAGGAACACUCUACUUAUAUGCAGAAGUGAGCAUGAACACUCCGACUACUAAGUUAAUCAGCAAGCGAAGUCCAUAGGAAAAGCACUUGCUACCCUUCUUCAAUAGGAAGCUUCCUCUGCCUCAAUGUUUCUUAGUGGAAAGACAGAAAGAAGAGAUGGAGGGAGGGAAGACACUGGAAGGAAAGAAGGAAAGAAAAAGAGGGAGAAAUUAAAUAGAAGCUUUCAAAUCCAGCAAGGUGCUGGUCACUGGCAAGGUGCUGGAAACAGAUGAGAUAGUUCUUCUGGACUUGGAAAAGUUCAGGACCUCAAAAAGACUUGGUGGGUUUGCCUGUAAUUCUAGCCUCAGGGAGGCAAGGAGUGAAGGAUCCGGUGUUGAAUUAGCCCCUAAAUUAAAAAGAAGCAAAACAUCAAGGGACAGAGAGGUUGAAUAAAGAGCCAAGCGGAACAUGGGUGCUUCCUGGAACUUAGAGCUCCAGCUCAGUAGAGAGGAUGCCAGUUCUGAUGCAUUAAGAUGUGCUUGUGCCAGGAAUCUUCCUUUUCUCUGCUACAGAGAGUUGAUGGCUAACUAAGCUGAGCUUGCAGUUUUUCCUGCCUUGGCAGUCAUAAAGUUGACUAGAGUAAUAUAUCUACAUCUACAUCUACAUCUUUAUCUAUACCUAUAUCUACAUCUACAUCUAUAUCUUUAUCUUUAUCUUUACCUAUAUCUAUAGGCAUAGAUAUAGGCAUAGAUACACAUAGAGUUGGUUGAAUAAAACAGCAUUGAGCAUUAUUUUCCACUGUGAGACUCAAAGCUACACAAGGAUUUGAUUUAAUUUGAGAAACCACACAUGAGGGAUAGAUACUUAACAAAACCUUUCUAGGUUAGAUUGAUAGACACCAUAUUCAGUGUGGACUUUCAGCUGAAUAUGGGUAGAAAUUUAGAUUAUUUACCAUUUGUUAAGACUAGAAGCAUAUACAUCCAAUCAGGAAAUCUUGAGUAGCUCCAAAGGACUAAUUAUAAGCUAAUGACAAAGUGUCACAUAUUAACGAAGGGAGCUCUAGUUAAUUUUGCAUUUACCAUCAGAAUAGAUGAAUACUUAGAUUUUCAGUCUUAGCAACGAGUCUAAUUUAAUUCUGUUUUUCUUUGUUUCAUGAAAGAAGAAAUUAAGACGUAGACAACGUAAAAAUAAAAUACAUAAAAUACCACAAAAAUUGACCAGGUAUGAGAGGUGUCUGCAUAAUCUAGAGCCAUUGCUUUGAUGGUCUUGAACCUGCUGUCCCAGUGGAGCUUGGUGAAAUUCAUGGGUUAGUCUGUGUGGUAUUUUAUCAGAUUCAUUCCACAUUCAAAGUCCUCUUACAUAUUUAUUUCUGUUAGCUCGGCUCAGAGGUAGAAGGUAGAGAGUUUUGUGUUUCUUGUGGCAGAAUGUAUUUCUUCCUCACCUCAAAUGGCAUUCUCUUUUGCUUCACAAAUACACUUAAAAAUCUGAAACUUCAGAAUUGCUUUAAAUCAAUGUCAUCACAGCAUUGCCCCAUGGAAUGCUAGCAUCUCUAGCCCCAGCCUCCCUUGCCUCACCCAGAGAGCCAUAGGCAAAUACAUUUGAUCUCAAACUGUCACAAAAUAUCAAUGUCUAUUUUGUGUCUUUCCUUCUGAAGAGCACGUUUGCUUAAUGGAUUAUUUCUAGGACAGAGAAUUAUGUCUUCAUACUUAAAGAUAAAAGUGUUUUCUGGUUCUUAAACCCCUGAAUAUACUUCUCUCCUCCCCAUUUCCUCCUCCUCUCCCUUUCCUUUAAUUAAAACCAUUUCCUUUCUUUUCCAUAUCUGUAAGGCAAAAGAUUAAAUCAAGAGUCGAAUAGAGAAGUCAAUUUUACUUGCAGAAACAUAUAUUAAACCUUAAAAUAUAAAUAUAAUAUAAAAUAUAAUUCUAAAUUAUACCUUUCAUUACUCAAUUGAUACCCUGAACUAAUGGGAAAAUAUUCCAGUUCUACCGGACCAUGUAGUGGUCCAUAAGACACAUCUCCAAUAUCAAUUUGGACUUAGGUAUUAUCUUGACUGUUAUACUGGAUUAAAUUUUAUUUUGUGACUUGGUUCAUGCCCAAGCCUUUAACCCAGCAGCAUGCACAUCAGUGGAUUCUCAAAACACAAAACCAUCUGGAAGGCUGUAAACAGAGCAAUAGGAAUGAGAAGUAUGAAGCAUGCAUAAAGGAAAUUUUCAGUGGCUCCAUCUGGCCAGGCCCAAAGCUCAUUCUAGAGUAUGAACUGCUCAAAUCUGUGUCUUAUGAGGAAUGAAGACCUUGUGUGCCUCCUGCAGCUGGACUAUGUAUUUCCAGCUGAAUUUUUAUGUCCCGAGUCUUGGAGAAGAUGAUAAAUUAAUUUCUAGGCCAUAUGUAAAUUUACCUUGAAGUCAGGAAGGGUGUUAUUAGUUUUUUAACACCUAAUUCUUUCCAAAUAGUUUCUACACAUUACUACAUGAACUAAAAUGAAGAAGUCAGAUAGAAUGUGUAACUUUUUCAUUUGAAAUGAGUACUAAAUCAAGUUAAUUACUUUCCAUUUCCACAAAGCUGAGCAGGCAGUUUCCUGAAAGCAAGAGGGACUCAGUUACUUGUCUGUUUGACUCAUGGAUCAGCUGAGGACCUAGCUGUGGUAGCUACUAUCACUCUUAACCCAGAGAAGAACCUAGAGCACAGGGUAAGUGGAACCCCAGAGGCUGAGGAAGGCUGGGCAUGGUGACUUAGUGUCACUCCAGAAACUCAGCUCUCUGGUGACAGCUCUCAGGCAACACACUGGAGGGCCUAGGCACACAAUCUGUCUGAGGCUGAGCUUUGUCUUGGCUAUGCAUUCUUCUUCAGGAGGGCUGGCCCAUAAAUCAGAGGCCCAAGUCUGUCUAAGUCAGACUCUGGGAGGCCUAGGCAAUUGUCUGCACUGGGCCUCUGCGCCAGGUGAUUAGGGGCCUUGCAGGGAGGUUCUCAAAGCCUGAAUUAUAUAACAGCCAUUAAUUAGGCCAGCCAAAAUUGAAGUAGGGAAAUAAGGAAUGGAAUUAAUUUAUAACGUAUAGUAGGCAGUCUGCCCAAUUGCUUUGGCCUAGGAUCAUAAUUAAAAACCUACAUAGUCUCUACUACGUGCAGAGUUCUUUUCCAUCUUUCUGUAACACAUAUUGAACCUAAAUGCAGUAUAUGUUUUUUCUUUCACAACAUCUUCUAGGUGCAUUAUGUUCACUGGUAUACAAGAAUUAAAUGAUGCACAGGCAUGGCCUCUGAUCUAAAAACUCCCAGGGAAGUGGUUUCUGUUUUUGGAAGCUUUGUGGUAAUAAAGAAGGUCUGGUCACCUUGCAGAGGAAUACUAAGUGAGUAGAGACAUUUCUCUUCAAGAUGCCAUUAUCUUUAUUGAAAACAGAAAAUGCGGGAAAUAUAGAAAUUAAUAAGAAAUUAUAUAUAUGUAUAUAUAUACAUACAUAUAUAUGCUAAAGCAUACAUUUUAUAUUCAUCCCUGUCUUCUUGCUUAGUGAACAUAUAAAAUAUACACAACAGAUAUAGGUGGUCAAGCUCUGCAAAACAUUUGCUCUAAGGCAGUUCCUUUUGAAGAGGUAGAGUAUGGCCAGACUUCUAGUUUAUUAGUGUGUUUAUAAGCUCAAACAACAGGUUACAAUGUAGUACCCAUGGCAAGAAAUCAUUUCAAUGAAUGAGCAUUUAAAGUAAUUUAAAGUGAGUAAAAUUUCACAACCUGGGGUAAUGGACACAUAUAUUAUGUAUAUUCAGAUUAUGUGCGGAUGCUACCAUGCUCAGUUCACAGUUUAUACAGUGAGAUUAUAAACUGUCUCAUUAUUCAUCUGUGGACACUCCCUAAGUAGAACUUUGUACAGCUCCUUCUUAUCCUGAAUCCUGUUGGAAAUCUUUGUGUUUGCUGUGAUGGUUACUAAUCACAUAGCUAAGAAGACAAUGGCAUGCUCUUUUCUCCCUCAGUUACCAUCAUAUAUACCUUCACUGUGAUAGCGAUGUGAUAAAUCUCUUGCACUGAAUCCCCAGAGAACCUCUCAGUAGCUCCUACCCCUCUGUUUGGUAGGCUAUCUUCUCAAAUCAAAGUCCAUAGAUGAUUUGAACUCUCUGUAUUUUUUGUUUAUUUGUUAUUGUUGUUUUUUCCCUCUUGUCUCUGUCUUCUCUGUUUCAUUUGCAAGAUGCCCUUGCCAUUAGCAGAGCAUCCCAGACGGAGGGCACCCUUGACCCCCCUGGCACAUGCCAUCUUUUGGUCUAGAAAGCUGGACUGGCUUUUUUCACUUCAUUUAUGCUUCUGGUCCAGCAUGACUCUUUGUGGCUUGGCUAGCUGUUUCAAAACAGCAGCCCUGUCCUUCUAACUAUGAAUUGAGUCUAUUCUACUGUGCUCAAUCCCAUACAUCACUACAGGCCAUUAUGCUAGAUAGUAUAGUUAUUAAUUAUCAUUAUUAAUAUAAUCAUUGUCCAUAAAUUAUGCAAACUUAUCUUAUAUAUAGUAUAUAAAAGUGUAUCUAAUAUAUGUGUGCAUAUAAGAUGAGCUGUGUGCACAUAUGUGCACAGAUAUGUCAACAGUUUCCCUCUAGAAUUUUGGUACAUAAACAACCACAAACCAGCAAGAAGGAAAGAAGUAAAAUACGAAGCCUGUCAAGCCACAAGAACUAAAGAUUUCAAAUAACGGUGUGGAGAAGAGAAUAUGAAAUGAAAUGAUGGUAGAGUUAAUACCAAAGUACAUGAGUUUUCAGUCAGAACUUGGCACACAGAAGGAACUCACCCUGCCAUGUUUAUAGGAAUAACAUUUAAGAGGGUAAGGUAAACACUAAGAUUUGGGUGCUACAUAAGUCUGGGGUCAUUAGUCCAUCUGCUGACUGUGUGUCCUGUGAGAAGAGAGCUUCUGUCAUACAGGCAGUUUUGCUUUGUUUUACACUGUUGUAUUUAAAGUCUGCGAGGGAAAUUUCUGUUCAAACAUGGUAAAGUGCCUUAAACAAGCUAAUCAUUUCAAUUUCUCAGGGAGAAAAUAAAUACACAUCAGUUAAUUAACUAGCUCCAAAUAACCAGGACCUGACAGUGCACUUAAAAUAGCACUACUCAAUAAGUCUACCUCUGCUGCCCAUGAUGAACCAUGACUUUCUGCUCUACCAACAGCUCCAUGUGUCUCUGCAAGCAAGGAUACAUGGUAUAUAGACUUAACAGGAGAUGGAAACUUCUCUGGGUCAUGUAUUUUUAUCCUCAGUUUUAAAUAUAAUUGCAGAGAGGGUAACAGGUUUCCCAAGGUCAGAUUGAGAACUGUCUGAAUCAAAAGCUGCUAUAACCAUCACUGCAGAGACUCACAUGAGAAACAAAACAAAACAAAAAAACAAAACAAAACAAAACAAAAAAACCUCGUGUUCCUUUAAUUUAGAACUAUGUAGCUUUGGAGAAUACCUUUUCCUCCAUAACUAGGUUUCCUUGGCUGUAAUAUGCAAAUCUCUGACUAGGAACUCUAAAUAUUAUCCUAUUUUUUUUCUAAUUGUCAUAAAGUUUGCUGCCAUAGGUAUUUCUUUAAAUGCUGACUUCUUGAAGAAAAUAUUCUCAAAAGGUUGGCUUUAUUUUUGAGCAAUGUUGAACAAUUUAAGCAACUUUGAUUGAUGAAAGAGAUGAAUAGAAAUCAUGCACAAUGAAGAGUAGAAGCAAUCCAAGGAGAGGGAGCUCUUGACAGAAGCAGGGAGCUUCCACAUCUUAUUAGGGAAACAGCACCUAUCCUUGACUGAGCUCUGUAUGUCUGGGAACCGAGAGGAGAGAGAGGCAGGAGGGUGACUGAAGCUGCUAAGCCUGGACUUAAAAUGUGUAUGAAAAGCUUUGGUACCUAGCUUCCUAGGUAUCAUCCUAAAGCGUUUGGGUCCUACUCAAGGGGCAACAGAGCGUAGAUACAACUUCUACAGUCACCUGAGCCAAGGGUAGUCUUCUAAAACUAUAUGAUAGCUUAUGGCUGGAAUUAAUCAGUUUCUCAUUCUCAUUUCUUUGACAGAAAACUUUACAAGGCAAGGUAGACAAGGAGCAAAUGGGGCUUUGAAAAGUUACUAGAAUAAAUUUCAAAGGUGUAAGGGCAGGAUUGAAAAACUUUCCUACCUCCCUUCUCCCUGCCCUCUCCUGAAACAUUGUCGCUGUCGCCCAUGUAGCUCAUCUUAGAAAGAUAAAUAAACACAGCAACUUACUGUCAAAAUGACAGGACAGCAAUGACAAUAGGAAAACUAAAGGAUUGGUUAGGUCUUAAGAAAUCUGUUAGUAUGUGAGUUCAUGCAUUACAGAUGGGAACUGAAGGGUCCUCUAAUUCACCUUUUCCAUGGUCAAGACAUUAAAGAAUGAUAAAGAGACUGAUGAGAACAACCUCUGAACAGGCGUGAACUUGCUCGUUCCUUCCCUCUCUCUGCUCUCUCCUCCUCCUCCUGCUCAUUCUUAUUUAUGCUCUGCAGCAGCCAUCUGUGUGGAAAUCCCACAAAGCUUCCUUUAGAGCGCAUCUUCGAUGGUCAUUGUACAGCCUGGUACUCUUUGUUGACUCUCCUGCGGGGAGACCCAUGAAUGCCCUUCACUUUGAGUGGAGGGCAGUCAUUCUAUACAAUUUACAUGACCAGUUGCAUGCUAAUGUAUUUACUAGAAAACUUCAUUACAAACAGUAUAGUUUUCAUUAAUCACCUGGAAAGUGCCUUAAAUUUUAACUAGAAAUAUGCUUUUAACAAAAAUGUUUUUAUUUGUUUUUGUUGUUGUUUUGUUUUGUUUUUGCUUUUGUUUCCAAGUACCUAAAUGCACCUAGACUUCUGAAAUUUGACCAUCUAUAAAAUUAUGGCUACUUCUAAAUUUAACCUUUAUAUUAAUUCAUACUAAAUCAAUCAAAUUAGUAUUAUAUAAAUGUAAAUAAAUUAAUUCAGCACAUCCAAGCAUGGUAAUACAUCAUUGAAACCCUAGUGUUUGGGAGGGUGAAGAUAAUUUUGACUUUGAGGGCAAUCUCAGUUACAUACUCUGUCCUCCAACGUUCCAGAAAACUAUCCAAUGCAAACUAUGUUACCACUACAGGGACAAAUGCUAUACAUAACUAUACUGCCAAUGCAAUUAAUACUGAAUUUCAUUGUGUUUUAUAGUGGUUAAUUAUAAAAAAAGAAAAAAAAACCAAAGGAGUCAUUAUACCAGUGUUUCAACUUAAAAAAUUACACAUGUAAAUAUAGGACAAAAUCUAUUUUAUAGUGACAUAUAUGUACAUGCUUAACAAUAUUUUUAUGCCUUAAGUAAUGAGUUCCCUAGGAAUGAGUUGGCAUGUCAGUUACACUCUUAGCUUUCCUUCCCCUCAAGUCCUUAUAGUAUGUGAAAGAUGACAGACAUGGAAUCCCACAUUAUCUCCUCUUGUUCUUCCUUUUUCCUCUCUUUAAGUCAACUGCAUGCAUUCUCUUUAAAGCCCCAUUUUACCCAACUACCUCAUAAUGUUAUAGAAUAUGUAUCUUAAGUAACUUCAAAUUGAUUUUUUUAAUUAAAAAGUCACUUUGGUCUUGAGUUGUAUAUGUUUCUAUAAGCAAAAAUUUAAAAGUGAAAGGGAGCAUAUUAAUAUAGAAAAGACAUAUGUUUCAAAAGCUUUAAAACAAGUGGAAUUUAGAGGAGUAUUUCACUCAAACAAAUGAUCAAACUAGGUGGGCAGUGGCUGGCUUUUUCAAGUUAAUGUCUAAGAAACCACUUGUUCUGGAAAAACAAAUGAGCCAACUCAGAAAGCCACCACAAAACGACUUGGCUAAUAUUAGAUAACUUUUUUUUUUGAGAAAAGAAUCAGACCAAAUAGCUAUUCUUCUUUGGAAAUGAAAUUUGCUGUAUUAAUAUUUCAGAAUGUUUGUAUGUUUAAUAAUUAUAUCAGAACUAUUGUAUCUGAACUAUUUUAGAAUUAUUACCAUUUUUAAAACAAAUAAAAUAACUUUUAUAUUAUUUUACCAUUGGGUUACUAUUAUUAUUAUUAUUAUUAUUAUUAUUAUUAUUAUUACCAUAAUUGUCAUUGUAUAUUUUGGCCUUCCAUUAUUAAUUAGCAUGAUGUUCUCUUACACUAAUUAAUUAAAAUUUGGAGAAAUUGACAUUCAUCGAAGAAGAUCAAAGCUGACCUAAGACAGGAGUCUCAGACAGAGACUCCUGCUCAGACAGAGACUAUGGGAGUUUCAGGGAAUGCAGAUCAGAGCCUGGAAUUCCAUGUGAAGAUCUGUGGGUGGAACCCUGUGGUUAUACAUAUAAGAAGGACAUUUGUCUUAUAGGGCAUGCACUAAGGAGCAAAGUGGCUCUAUUAUCUAUUUUCUUAAUAAGCCUCUUGGAAAGUAGUGGUCUAGAAGAUUUUUUUAAAUGUACUUCAUGAAUAUAUUAUGAAUUAUGCACCACAUAAAUUAUUUGUUAUUAAUUAAAUUAUUUAGUGACUUCAUUGCCUGUCCUCUCUUCUGUGUAGAAAGCUGUUUAUUACAAGGGAAGAUAUGUUGAUGGAAUGACUAGGGUUGGGACUUUCUCAGGCAUAUAAAGAAAAAGACAAGUUUAGUAGCAUUGUGCUUGUUCAUUUGCAUUCGUGGGUGAAAAAUGGUAGUCCAGUUCUUUGGCAUGGAACUAGGUUAAUCCAAUGAGGAAGGAGUCAUAUCUAGAUUUGGCUGUGUGUGUGCAAGCACAAACAGAGUUUCUAUUCCAGGAAAUUCAAUACCAGUUAAAUGGAAAAUAGUCCUGGUGAUAAUGACUGAACUUCUUCAUGGACAGGUAACUAGUACUUCGGAAGAUCCUUAAGUGUGCUGUAGAAGAGAAAUGUUUUAAUUCUCUAAACAUGUUUGUGAUCUUUAUGCUCUGACGGCUCGGAGGUUAAGAACACUGGCUGCUCCUCCAGAGGUUCUGAGUUCAAUUCCCAGCAGCCACAUGGUGGCUCAUAAUCAUCUGUAAUGAGAUCUGGUGCCCUCUUCUGGCCUGCAGGUGUACAUGUAGACAAGACCCGAUAUAUAUAAUAAAUAAAUCUUUUUGUUUUUGUUUUUGUUUUUUGUUUUUUAAGAAAUGUCUUUCAACAUUUCUUCUUAAAGGCAAUGAGACUAAGGCUUAAAUAUUUUGCUCUUAAACCCAACAAAUAUAAAACAGGAGGCUUGCUCUCCUGACCAAAGAAUUGCAGGAAUGUUGGUGCACACCUAUGAUCCUAGCUCUUGAGAGGUGGAAGCUGGAGAAUCAGUUACAUAGUGAGUUCUAGGCCAGCCUGGAAUACAGGGACCCAUGUCUUUAAACAAACAAGCACACAAAGAAACAAGACAAUGGAUUAUGGUGAGGAGGUAGGCAUGAUGCCAGUCUGUAAUAGAAGCACUAUGAGACUAAGGCAAGAGGACUGAGAGUUCAAGGUCAGCCUGAGCAUCAUAAGAAAGCAAAACAAAACAAAUAUAAUAUACAGCAUGUUGCAUACUUGACAUAAUCUGUUUAAGUGUUACUCUGUUUACAUGGCUUUGACCUAGCUUUUAGAAAUGUCAUGGUAAAUUAACUUCAGUGAAACCAGUGGCGGCUGUGCACCACAUGGAUGAUAGAGACAGGGGAACAAAAAGAACCAGCACUCCGAAUGAAUUAUAAGCUGUGAGAUUCCCAAACACGAUCCAUCUUCCAGAGAUCAUGUCUCCAGAGAUGGGCAGCCAACUGCACUAUGAUCUACUGCAAUGCUUUUUAAAGAAUUCAUUCAGCAGAGGGAUGCUGAGAUGUAUGGUGUAUGAAAUGAGUUUGAUAGGAGAAAGGCAUGAGCUGGUACUCUGUCUUGGCCCUUUAAUAAUGAGUGGAGUGUAUGACAGGUUUUUGUUUUUUAGCCCUGGCUGUCCUGGAACUCACUCUGUAGACCAGGCUGGCCUCGAACCCAGAAAUCUGCCUGCCUCUGCCUCCCGAGCGCUGGGAUUAAAGGCGUGUGCCACCACGCCCGGCAUGACAGUUAUCUUUUUAAAAUCUCACUUUAUUCUCUGCUACAAUGGGUAAGGAAGGUCAAAUGAGACUCCUUAAUGGUUGAUCUAUAUAUACAUCUAUAGACUUACCUAACCAGUAUUUAUUAACUUAUAGACUAUAGUGACUAUAUUAAAAAUAUACAAUACUUUUGUGAUGGCUAUUUCAUAUCAUUGCAGUCCAUAAUUUGAAGAAAAAACAAGAAUUGCCUCUAUAAAAUGCAUAAGAUCAUGUUAUCAGGGAGAAUUCUCAGUUUUACAAGAUUGAAGUUAAGAAGAGCGGAAUGAAUAUUACAUCAACACUAUAGUUUUAGUCAUUAGAAAAAAAAAGAAACAUUCAUGUCAGAAAAUAUUUUAAAAUUUAAAAAACUUAAAAACAAUUAUCAGCAUCCUGCUUUCUGUCUAUCCAAAGAAAGCACUAAUAACAAACCAAAAGCGUAGUACCCAAGAUCAUACUGGCAAAAACACGGGUGUUCCUACCUUCAUACUGACAGAAGUCACAUGUACAUAAGGACAAAAAUCACAAGAUCAAAGGUGCUUGUGUCAUCAAGAUCACAGGUGCUGAUAGUGACAAAAUCACAGGUGCUUGUAGCAAGAUCACAAAUGUUCUUACUGACAAGAUCACAGGUGCUCUUACGGACAAGAUCACAGGUACUUACACCUUCUUACUGAUAGAUCACAGGUGCUCACACCUUCUUACAGGUAGAUCACAGGUGCUCACACCUUCUUACAGGUAGAUCACAGGUGCUCACACCUUCUUACUGAUAGAUCACAGGUGCUCAUACUCUCUUACUGACAAGAUCACAGGUACUCAUACUCUCUUACUAACAAGAUCACAGGUACUCAUCCUCUCUUACUGACAAGAUCACAGGUGCUCUAUACUGACUUAUGCAAGUUUACAAAAGGAUCUUUAUAGCCCAAAAGCACUGAAAAUAAAAGAUUCAACAAUUACUUUGGUGAUUUGUUGUUGUUGUUUGUUCCUUUUAGCAUUAUUCAUGACAGGCUAAAAGUUAUUGAGUUGAAUGAAUGGUGGGUAUAUACAUACACACACACACACAUAUAUAUGUUUGUAUAAUGAAAAAUUAUUUGGGAGAAAAAGAAUAUUCUUCCUCCAAAUGAAUGAAAUCUAAGGGCCUUGUAAUAAUUGCAAUGAGCCAAUUAAAGGAAGGUUAUCCUUCCAUGUGAAUUAAAUAGGAGAGCCUUGAGAUAAUUGGAAUGAGCCAAUCAAGUGACUAUACACUUGUUCAUAUGAUAUAGCAGAAUAGUCAGAUCCAGAGAUACAGAGAGUGCAAUGGCAGAUGAUGGGACACACUGGGCAUAUGUUGUAUUGGGGAUGCAGUCCUUUGGAAGAGUAAGAAUGUUCUAGACAUGGAUGGUAAUUUGAGCUGUUCUUUAAAUGAAUGCUUUGUAGCAUUAAAAUAUAUUUUUCAUAUUAAGUGCAAAUUCUAUUAGUGUUGACCUCAUAUAAUAAAAAGUAAAUUUGGAUAAAAUAAACUGACUUAGUAAAGCUUUGUAAAGUUACUCAAGUAGCCACUAAUAUGUAUUCAUAUGCACAAACAUAUUUCACUCAUUUAGAUCUGUAAAGAAAGCCUUGUUGAGUUUCAUAUCACAAUAUUCUAAAAGGUUUUACUCUUCCCAUAUGCACUCCAAUCCUCCAAGUAUAACAGUUCAUGGCUUCAAUUCCAGCACUGAGGAGGCAGAAGCAAGCAGUUCUCUGUGAGUUCCAGGAUAGCUUGGUUUACAUCACUCAUUCUAGGCCAGGAGAGUUUCAUGCUGAUAUCAUGACACAGAAUAAAACAUUAUAAGAAACCUAAUUAAACCAACAGGAGACAAGUGGCAUUUUACAGACUAAGCAGGUUGUACUUAUAUAUUGACAAAUACAUAUGUGUAUAUAUGUGUAUUGACAAAUUAUAUAUAUAUGUAUGUGUAUAUAAUACAUAUAUACACAUAUAUAUAUAUAAUACACACACACACACACACACACAUAUAUAUCACACAAUGGGCUCCCCCCCCCAAAAAAAAUCUAUCCCGAAUCCUAGGCAUGAAUGGGGAGGAGAGUCAUAGAGUCAUAGUGUAAAGUUGACAAUUCCCCACAUGUGCAGAGUUUCCUCUCUAUGAUAGCACUUCCAGAUAUGGCUAUUCCUUCUUUUCCAUUGCUCCUAACAAAAGAAAAAUGUAUUUUAAUUGAAACAUUAUAGUGUGUGGAUCUAUUUAGCUCAACAUAUCUGUCAGUAAAAUAUGUGUCAUGAUUUUUUGCCAAACAUUAAUUCAAUGUGGGCACAUUUAACCCAAUUCAGUAGAAGAACUAAAUUGUCCCUCUUCUCAAUAAAUAUAUCUGUCAUUCCUUACUUGGCUUCUUAGGGAAGUGAAACAAUGUUGUAUUGUCUUAGAUAGUCCCAAUUUGAGAACUAUCAGCACAGUUAUUCUUUUUAUUUCCAUGUUUCAGAGAGAGAGAGAGAGAGAGAGAGAGAGAGAGAGAGAGAGAGAUUCUGAAGUGUAGGAAUCCACUUAUUUGUAGUGACUUGCUUUUACCAAAACUGACACACCUUUUCAUAUGAAUAUUCUCAGCUAAUGCUUACUUAAGAGAGUUUCAGAAAACAAAACAAAACAACAAAAACAAAACGAAACUCUCCCAUGAGAGUAUUAAAAUCACUUAUUUUCCACCUCAGUUUUAAAAUGAGCAAGCAUAGUAUGUAAAACCUCAUUAUUUUUGUGUGACCUAAACCUUCUCUUGCAAAUACAUUAAGUCCAUUCUACACCAUGAAGGAUGAAAGCAAAGCUCUUCAGCCAAUUAGGAAGAUAGCGUGUGCUCCUGGAAGUUAGUUCUACUCUUCUCACUGCUGGUACAGAUGUAUAGAUCCAUGUGUUAUUAUAUAAACCACCGAAUGAGAUGAAUGUAUAAUGCUUUUACAUAAAGUGUAGCAUCCUUUUUUGUGGAUCUUUAGGAAUACUGAGUGAAAUGUUAAUUUUCAGAAGGGUUUUAUUGUGAAGUCACUAUAACAAACAUUAUGUUAAAAGAACAUAUUCCAAUUAAAACUCGUUUCUUGUAUGGCAUUUGAAACAUGCCAUCUGUAGAGAAUGCCAUCCCAGAAUUCAGAGUGUGGUGCCUUUUUGUUAUAUUUAAUACUAUUCUAGUAUAAGUAUGCUUUUAUAGCAAAUAUCUUGUUUGGGAGAAAACAAAAUUCUUAUAAUUGACCCUGCACUUUUAAUUUCUGUGCGUCAUGUAUAAGCAUAACAUGCAUAUGAUAUAUUAAAUAGAUGGAAUGCAAAAAUAUAAUUAUGAGAGAAAUAUAUUAUACAAAGGAAUGAAAAUCUAUAAAUAAAAGCAUGCCCUUUGCUCGACUUGAUUCGUUCAACUAUAGUUUAAAAGACAGUCCUUUUACUUUUGCUAUCAAAAGAGAAAAACAAGGGCAAGCAUAUAUGGAUUCUUUAAUUGCGACAUCCUGACUGAUUGCAAUGUGGUAUCCAACAUGACGCGAUGUUUUGACUACAUGGCUGCAGCAGACUAUAAUUUAAAUGCCAUUAAAGAGACACAAGGCCUAGCACCAAGGCAGGAAUGCUGUGAAAUCUUUUGGUCUGCAGUCACAAUGCAGAUCAAGUUGUUCUCUGAUCUCUCAGUACUGAAGUCUGCUGUCCAGAAGGAAAAUAUUUUUGUGUGUGUGCUUCCGUCUUAAACUAAGACAGACUAGAUUUUCCAUCAGCGUCACCUAGUUAACACCACGUAAAAAGUAGCACACACUUUAUGGAGCAGGGCUUUGUUUUCUCCCAUCCUUAUUUUGGGCUGCAUUCUGAUUGUGUACUGCUGAAAAAAAAGAAUAUGCCCAAAAUCUCCACAUCUGGUAUAAAGAGCCUAGACUCUGAACAUCUGGUAUAAAGAGCCUAGACUCUGAACAUCUGGUAUAAAGAGCCUAGACUCUGAACACAUCCGUGUGCUGAUACAGACCGUUUGUAUGUACUCAGACUGUUUAUAUGUUUUUAUGUUAGGAAGUCAGGACUUCGUAGUUCACUGCUCUUCUCAGUAAUUUUUCUUCUCGAUCAAUGGCGAUAUAUUUUGCUCACAAGGCUAAGCAGAGUGUCAGCACAGUUUGUGCCUCUGAGGAGUCUCAAGAGUUAAAAGAUUGAAGUAAAACAGUCUCCACACCAUAGAAAAGUAUAUGCAAGAUUCUAAGUCACAGACAGAUUACUGAUAUGUUCCUACUUUUGCAUUAAAUUAUAAUUUUAAAACGUAUACUAGCUUCUCAAGGGAAAAAAUGGUCUGAAGAUUUUCCUAGCAGAUUCAUUAUGCUUCCAUGGAAAACCAGACAAAGAAAAAGCCAUUUUCCUUUUAGACAUCUUCUUAUGGUCCAUUAUAUGUGACACUAUAAGAUCUGUCUCCAAAUCAUCUAUUUCAGAUAAUAAUAUGUUGGUGAUAGUUUUCAAAUUUUAGUAUAUUUUAGAUCUCACACAAUUGUAUGGUGACUUUUUUAUUUUAAAAAUGAGUAAUAAAUUCUUUAAAAGAGAGGAGGUUAGAAAUACCUUUACCAAGAUGCAACCUAUCUACUCUCAUAGUCAAUAAACAUUUUUAGUUUCUUUUGUAGGUAAGAACUUCUCAGUAACUAAAGGCAGUCUAUUUAAUAACCAAUGAUAGUUCCAGUCUGGGGAUAUGACUCGGUGGUCGCAGGCUUGCCUGGUAUGUGUGAGGCUCUGGUUUCAAACCCAAGCACUAUACAAAAUAAAAUCUCUCAUUCAAAUUUAUCACGUGGAGAAAUCUUGAUAAUAAACCUUACCAAAGCUGGCUCACAUACUUAGAAUGUCCUGUGCAUAAAUCAUUUCUAAUUUCACCUUGUUAACAUUUUAUGUCAUGACAUAAAAGAUUCUGACAAUGAGCCGUAGAAGUGAGAUGUCUUUGGAAAGUUAAAAGUGAUUUCUGAGGUGUGAGAAAAGCCAAAAACAAUAGGAAGACCAGCUUAAUCAGUUCUGACGCAUAUUGUGUCCAACAGAAACAAUUCGAAGUCAUUUUUGCACAAUACUCUUCAACAAGCAAGCCUGGACCUGCUAAAUGACAUUAUCAUUAGCCUGGCCUUCUAAGCAAUUUCAAGUGGUCUCUAAGCCAGAUAAACAGGGGCAUCAUUUCUGUCUACCCAGAACCAAGUCUAUUGCAAACACUUCUGUUGAGGGAUCUUUAUUGAAAGCUGAAUCUCCUUCUGGGUAAGACUACAGUCUCCUCAAGUGCAAGUCUUUGCAUUCCCCUUUGCACAUGUGCAGACUGGUGGAACUUCACUGCAAAUAGAGUGCCCCGUGUGCUUUUGUUUAAGUAGCAGUGAAAAGGACUGUUUUGUUCAAUGUGUUACAAAGCAUCAACGGUGUGUGAACGGACCAUCAUAAACACAAUUCUGCCGUAUUGAUUCUGAAAAUACCUCACGUGUGUCUGAAUGCUCAGGAAUUGCAGAAACCAGUACAAAACUUGCUCUUACUCACUGUGGGGCAAUGGAAAGUGAAUUGUCACUAAGAGAACAAAAAUGCAGACAGAUAAAGGCAGCAAAGCAAUUGGACAAGAUGUAUUGUGUAUUCUGUAUGUAAUUUUAAAUUGGGUUUUUAAAAAUUCAUCUAAACAUCUUCCUGGGCUUUGUAAUUGCUACUCAGAAGGAUGUGCCCUGGCAAGGGUUUGUAGAACAGUGAAGGUAGAAAAACCAGCCACUAUCCAAACAAAGAUUUGUUUCAAAGUAAGCUAAGCCUUCAGUAUUAAAUGUCACACAAAAAUAUUAGAAUAAUGUCCAGUAACUUCUGGUUAUCAGAGGAACAAUCCUCUAAAGCUAAGCAUACUGUAAAAAAAUUAGUAUCAUAUGAGCAUAUUGUAAAUACACUGUCAAAAAUUUUAGCCAAAAGUGGAUACGUAUCAAAGUCAUUGCAUGAAUGAUACAAGCCUGCUUUAAUCAUUUGAAAGAAAUUGUUGAAUUAUGAGAGAUUAUUAAUCAUUAUAAGUGCAAAAUUAAAAAAUAAUCAAGCAAAGGGAAAUAUUGAAUUAAGUAGCAAAUUAGGGCAAAUAAUAUGCUAUGGAGAAUGUUUUAAUGUUUUGGAGUAUGAAAUGAAAGCAAGAUGAAAAAACAGAAAUAAAAAUACAAUUAGUAAACUAAAUAAAAAUCAUAUGCAAUUAAAUUUUUGCCAAGUGGCACUGUGAGCUCCAGCAAUCCUCAAUCUAUUCUGGAGCAAAUCAGUUUAGUUUCUAGAAGAUUGCUGGCAAUCAUUUUGAUUAACAAAAUGAUUAUAGAGCAUUAGUAAAAUCCAUCUCUUAAUUUUGUGAACAAAACUUACUAAUGCUCUUAAAAUGAGGAUAAUCAUUAUGGAUAUUUUUUGGAGAUGAAUUAAUAGCUAGUCCAUUCAGCACUCACUCCUUUUGAUCAUUUUAAGAAUCAAAGCAAGCCACGUAAACAGCCCUAGUGUUCAUCAGCUUUAAAUCACAAAAUCAUUCUCUACACUUAUUUGAUGUCAAAAGUCAGUUGGAUUUUAUCAACACUUAGUGACUCUGCAUUUCAUUUGGGAAACUCUAGAUUUUUUUUAACUGAUUCCUAAGUAUUUGAAAGUUCAUUUGUUUGUUAUGUGAAGUUCUAUAUGAAAAGAGACAGAAUGGUAAAAUUCUCCCACUUACUGUUUAACUUAAUUCUCUUCCAACAGUUUAAAUAGGACUAUGUCUUGAGGUACACGUCCUUCUAACAUUGAUCACUGAAGAAAAUGAGUGUGUGUGUGUGUUGCUAAGCAAAUGCAACCUACACCACCUGUAAGAAAGUGGUUGAUAUUACAAUGUGUCUCUCAUGAGUAUAUGACUCCAAUAUGUGUGUGGUACCAAAUGGUGUGAUCACUAAUAGCCUUGAUUUUGAGUUCCCAGAGAACCAGAACAAUGAGUGUUCUUUGGAACAUGUGCUUAACUUCCUGCAAUGGGGCAGGAAUCGCAGCUGUGACAGUAGCUGGGGGCUUCCAGAUGUCAAGGCUGUAUGGACUCUGAGGUAAUUGCAGGAAGAAAGGGAUACAAUUUUGUUAUCACUGAUUAUCCUCCCCAUUCAACACCCUGAAUCCAGCAUCAACAACAGCACUUUGUAUAGGCACCUGAUGAGCGAGAGGGCCUGUGUCAAAGAGAUUUGCGCUUUUGCCUCUGUAGAAAAGGAAGGCUAAGAUUGUUAAACUACACAGAAGACAGAAAGAGCAGGAGACACAAACCUACAUUAUUACAAUUAUAACCAUUUUAGUCAUUCUAAAACAAAAGACAACUUCUAACCCUUACUCCCAAAUCUGGAUAUUGUUGCCAAGGUGUUAGAAAACAAUGGUUUAUAAAGCCAGGAAAUAAAAAAAAGUUUAAUUAUUAAUGUUCUAAUAUAGUGUUUAUCCACUGCAUUUGAGAAUAUAAAAUAUUUACUCACUAAUGAAUCAGUACCUCUAUUCAAAAUUCUUCAAGUAACACUAAUUGAAUAGAGGGGAAAAGUUGAUGGCUUUCCAAUAUUCAACAGGAACAAUUACUUUCCAUCUUCCCUCACUAUACAGUCAGAACAACUACAAGAUUUCAGAUCUCUGUAAGCUUUUAUUCCACAGGUACACUCAAGUGGUCAUAAUUCUAUGUGGAAUCUUAAAGCACACAUGUAUCAGUGUGGCAGAAUAUACUGUCAACCGUAACACGUAUUUACUGACAAAUUAGAUAUUAAUUCAAUUGACAAGUGUCUUGGUUUGAAAGGUUUGUGUUGUUUAUUUGAUUAAGUGAUUCAAUGUUCCUGCCAAAUAAGCAGAAGAGUUGGUGCCCUGGUUUAGUGUGAAUGCUAUAAUUCAAUUUUGGAUUCAUUCUUCCAAGCACGAUGAAAAGAACUUCAUAUCAUCUUCAUUUCUGCUGUCUUCAUCUUCUCCUAGAACACCAAGCAUUUCCUAGUUUCUGUGGAAAGCUGCAUGUUAACAGCUGACUGACUGGGUUGCAGCAUAAUCUUCAAAUAAACGGUUACACAGCGAAUGGCACAUUCUUACUUGUGUUUCCGUCAUUGUGUCACAAUGGGAGUGAGGACUAGAAGCUGACUUGUGCCUUAGGCUGAGCAGUCUCUGACGUCUGACUCAGGAACCUCUCAGGUAGCUUGCUUACUCUGAAUGCUUUGAAAUAAUAUACAAAGAAUAAGCAAACACUCAACACCCUGUAGUCUAUGUUUAAUGGCCACAAUUCCCACAGUCUCAUCCACAUUAUCAACUAUACCAUGUGCUCAGGUGUAUGGCCCUCACCAUCAUUGAGGGAAGCCAUGAUAUCUGUCAAGAUAUGCUUUGCAGUUUUAGCUAAUUUAUGAAAUGUCCUCUAUCCCAUGAAUUAGCACUUACUUCAAUUUAUUUGAAUCUUAAUGAAUUAUAAGUACCAGUACUGAGUUAGUAGAAACCUGUAGUACAUGUAAGCAAUAAAAACAUAUAAGACACUGGACAUUCAGGGGAGGUUGAACUUUGAAAAAACAGAGUUGUUAAUUCUUUGAGAGCAUGUGGGACAGAGUUAAUCAAAAAAAGAUGAAUAAAGUAUUGAUGAUGGAUAUUUUUGUUUUUGUGUUACUAUAUACUAUAUACUUUUAAAAUUGGGCUGACUGCCAAUUGUAUUUCAGAAGGGAUUGCCUGUUUUGUUUUUCUCUUAAAGUUUCCUGUCUUUCAAUAUCGUGUGAAGGAUUUUGUAGUAAACAAUUUCAUUUAUAAUCCAUCCAUUCUGCUGGUAAAGCUAAGUUAGUUUAUUACAAAUGAAUAUUUUGAGCUUAUGAACUUAUUUAUUUAACCUGUAAUAGUCUUUGCCAUUUCUAACAAAGAGUAAGUUCUUAGCUCCAACUAAAAGUUGGUUCCUGAGUGUCGGAAAGCUCUGCAACAGUGACCGUUUGACCCCGCUGGACAACUGGUCAUAUAUACAGGUUGUCAGAAAUCACUUGAAGCAGAGAAGCUGGUCCAAAGCUAAGCAAUCUGCAUUUUAACAACCCUUCGAAUAGUCCUGGUACAGCCAAAGUUUGUAAAGCUCUGGUGUGAAAAAGUCUGUGAUAGUGAGAAAUGCCUUUAGCCACAAACUUGCUGAAAGACUACUUUCCAGUCCAUCAUUAAACCAAGUUGUAAUUUCUCUUUGAUGUGAACUCAUUCACUAUAAAAAGUUUCUUGUUCUUUUUUUUUUUUAAUCACAUGAAACAUCUACUAGCAAUAAGUUCUCAUAUCUAUUCACUCCUUUUAUUUCAGAUCCUGUUAUUUACGACCAGGGAAAGAUUCCACUAUAAAUUUAAAGAAUUAUGUCUCAUAUCAAACCAAGCACACUUAUUAUAAACUCUUCAUAAAGAAAAAGAGUAAGCUAUAGGCAUAAUGCCAUUUUAUGAUGUAGUUACUACAAAGUGGAGCUCUAAAGUCUUCUGGCUUUUAUAUCUAACUCUUGACACUACAGAUAUACAGCUGUAUGUUCAGUGAUGCUACAGUUAACUCCUGAAUGGAUACGAGCCCAGCACUUGCAUUAGCGUACAACUAAGGCCCUGGAAGGAAAGCCUGUUGUCUCACCAUACCAUGGUAUGUGCAUCUGGAUGACUUAUUAAAAUCUGAGACUGUAAACACGUUAUAACAUAUAAUGAAGGCAUGUUUAAAUUUUACUGCCUUCACAUCACCUGGUAGCAUAAAGCAGAGAACCACAGAAACAGAAAAACUGACAAAAACUAAAAUGAACAAGGAGAAAAAUCAGCUUUGUCCUAUAGGUACACAAUGGGGAGGCCACAUUACUCACAUACGUGUAAAAGCACGCGAGUGUGCAAACAUAUGCACACUCACUCACAGGGAAAUUACUGAUUUAUUCAGGAAAUUAGUCUUCCUCAGUUAACAGACCCAGAUUACUCAUGUUUGUCAGUGUGAGCUCAAACUACACUGAACUGUCUUAGUAACAUUAACAGUUUUGAAAAGAACAAGCUAAGGCCAUGGAAUGUAUUUUCUGUGUCGUAGUCUCAAGCUGUACUCACAGAGCAUUUUCUUUUGAUGACUCAUCUUCUUGGUUUCUAUGAGACUAUUAUAAUUUUAUCUUUUUCCUUCCAAUCGAAAUCACUACCAGCUUACAAACACAGACACAGACACAGACACAGACACACACACACACACACACACACACACACACAAAAGCAAGAUGUAUCAACUUGGUAGUUUCUCUUUCUGCCUGGGAAGGACCAUGAUUAUAGUCCUAUUUCCCUGGUGAUCAUACAUGUUCGCUUCAAAUUUUCUUCAGUGUUCAAUAUUUUAUGUGUCUUCUCAAGAAACCUAUUUAGUAGUUGGACAAAUUCCAAAUGGAUGACAAAGUACAACUAAUACCACUUUUAUAAGCUCAGUUUCCCAUGGAAUUAUCCAAAUCACCUUACUUUCUUCAAUGUUGUCAAAACUGGAUUCUGAAAACAUGUUAUUAUAUUUAAUGAUAACACAUAAGAAAAGUGUUUCAUAUCCAAAUGAAAGCAAAUAUUUUAUAUCAGCAUAGCUAGGCACUUUGGUUUGCAAUAAAGCAGUAAGUACUAGCCCACAUUCGAUGACUCUUUUUUUUUUUUUUUUUUUUUUUUUUUUUUUUUUUGAGACAGGGUUUCUCUGCAGUCCUGGCUGUCCUGGAACUCACUCUGUAGACCAGGCUGGCCUCAAACUCAGAAAUCUGCCCGCCUCCGCCUCCCAAGUGCUGGGACUAAAGGCGUGUGCCACCACGCCCGUUGAUGACUCUUAAUAGUCUUAUGUUAUCACAUGAGCGAUGCAGGUGAUGGGCACACAGCUAGAACUACAGAUUUAUGUACACACAUAAAAUACUGGUUUGCAGGAGCAUUUCUGCUCUGUUCAGAAAUCUGCUGCAUACACACACACACACAUACACAUACACACACAUACACACACACAAACACAUACACAUUCUCUAUUAAAGUAGGUGUGAAUAUCUAAUAUAACUAACUUUAUGUAUAGAUCAAGGAAGACCAAAAAUAUCUUGCAGGUAGCUCUCAGUCAGGGGGAGCUGGUCUCUGAAGGACCUUCGGUUGUAUAUGAGUGGCUUAGGGAAGGCGGAACUGUCACACAGCAGGUAGGAGCCAAGGCUGAAGAAUCUCCCCAUGAAAGGAAUGAUAUAGAUUAAAAUAUCAGCAGAGGUCAGGAGGAAUGACCCUGACCUAGAGAAAAAUAACAUACUUUUCCCUCAAUAUAUAUUGGCUCUAGGCUGGGCAGUGGUGGCACGCGCCUUUAAUCCCAGCACUUGGGAAGCAGAGGCAGGCAGAUUUCUGAGUUCAAGGACAGCCUGGUCUACAGAGUGAGUUCCAGGUCAGCCAGGGCUACACAGAGAAACCCUGUCUCAAACAAACAAACAAACUAACAAAAACAAAAAACAAAAACAAACAAAAAACAAAAACAAAAAGAUAAAAACAAACAAAAAACAACCAUAGUUGCUAUAAUUCCUCAGUUGCCCACAUGGGAAACGAGAGCAUCCAUCACAGUGGUAUGGCCCCAUAAGACAAGUGAAGUUGCUCUCUACCCAAAGCUCUACUCUAAUUUCCAAGGCCUCCCAAGAGUUUUCACCCCAGUGCAGAAAGCAUAGCUAAUUGGUUUGGAUCAGCAGGACAUCUCCACUGAAGGUUUCGUUUUGUGCUGAAGUUCUGAGUUCUAUAUCGCACACCUUGUGUGAGUGCCCAGGUUGGUGAAUCACCUUCUUGGGAAAAGCAAGCGACUGUGUAAGAUUGCACUGCCCAUUUUGAUAGUGGAGGAAACACUGUUAUCAAUAAGACUUCAUAUAUCAUCUCCCUAUAUUUUCUAAAAUCAGAAGGAUGAGCAAAAACAUACAGCCCAGUUUCUAAAUGAAAUGGAUUAUGAUCAAUGGUCACCUCUCAAUGUGCUUUUAAAACCUCCUGAUAGAACUGGAAUACAUUCUCAUGUAUAUAAUGUGACCCCCUCCCAUAGGUAUUCCCAGAUCUCCCCAACUAAAGAAGCCAUUCACAAUAUAAUAUAAUUUUAUUACAUAAAAUUAACCCUGGAGAAAUGUGGCUGACAGAAUUCUGGUUUAAGUGUUUUCUGUUUUAUUUAGGUGCAACCUCAGUUUGCCAGAUGUUUGUCCUGCAUAGAUAGCCAAUAGCAUCUGUAGGUGGAGACUGAGAACCACUGAAACGUUAUUAUGGCAUCAAAGUGUUUACUUCAGUAAAGCAAAGGCUUUACUGAAGAGACAGCCAUCUUUAAAACAUUUCAAUCAAACCAUCUGUAGAAGAAUAACACCCUGAUUUCUUCAAAACACCUUAGGCUUGCAUUCUUUACCAUAGGAAAGUGUGGCAAGCUUUUUGGAACUACGGCACCCUACUUGCCAAAUUUAAAAAAUCUAUACAAAUUUCUGUGCUGAUUCAAAUAUUAGCAAAUUUUUUAAAAGAAAUUAAUUUUCUUAGGAAAACUAGUUAAUUGGUUUAGGGUUAGAAUUAAAAUUUUAAGUCAAGAGUGGUGACUAAUACCUACAGUCUUAACACUGAAUACAGAGGCAGGAGGAUGAUCAUGAGUUUGAGGCCAGUCUGUGCUGAAGACUAAGAUGUCUCAAAAACAACAACAAAAGAAUGUUAAAAUCUUAAUGUACACAAUUAUUUAUUGGUGUGCUAAAUAUCUUGUUUUUUUUUAAAUUAUGGUAACCAUGUCUUCCAGAAUAAACUGUAUUUCCUACAGAAACCUGCCAAUACUUCUAAAGAUGGGAUGUAUCGGUUGUCUGCCAUGCCUCUUCUCUGUGCUCACAGAGCUACCAGUUCUCGUGGGGAUAUUUAUAAAUGAGAAAAUGGGCUUUCAUCUCACCCAUUUUUUUUUUAACAAAACAAAACCAAAACCACAAUACUGAAACGGAGGAAGGAAUUCCCAAAGGUCUAACACAAUUUAUGCAUGUACUUACCUUCCUGUUGUCUGGGCAUCCUCGUGAGCAAAUCAGAACUACAGGAAAGUGAGCAAACACCUUCAGAACAGGGAAGAAAGGUAAACAGAAGCUGCAGAUGUGUCCCGAAGAAAAUACUCAAUUCUCAGCAGAAUUCUGUUGAUUAUCAUAUGUAUACAGAUGUCAGAAGAUCUGAGAUUGACAUCAGUUUGCUGUGUGAACAAUAUCCUCAGGCAAUUUCAACACACACUCUUGUCUAGGUUGGAUGGUAAUUCCAGUUUACUGUAUGUGUGUCUUGAUAAGGGUAUUUCUCCUCAAACAUUUCUACACCAUCCUCUCUGAGUGUGCAAACCUGUAAUUAAGCUGAUGGCACCCUCUAGCUAGUCUGAUGACCUAGGAGGCAGUUUUAGGACUUCCUGCUUUCCACUUGAUAUGAGUCACAAUGUACAAUUUCUGUGCUUACUAUCAUUUCUAGGAUUCUAUUUAAUUUUCUGAAUAUAAGGAUAUGGCUAAGUUAUAAGCAGAGAACUGCAAGUGCACGCCAGAGCAUGCACCGCUGCCUCUGGUCCACUGAGUAUUCUUUUAGAUGCAGUGUCUUCUUUGAGCUCUCAGCAGGGGCCAGAAGUCAGGGGCCUGGUAACUUAUUUAUCUUUUGUUUUGCUUUAAAGUAAAGAAGUGGAAGGAAGGAGAAUCAAACAUGGAACUGUCAAAUCUAGGAUCCAAUCAACUGGGAAGCGGGGUCACAGGCAUUGGGACUUGGGUACUGAGUGUGGAACGGAUUCAGUGAGGACUUCUCCAUCUUGCCACAUAGCACAUCCUGAGGAGUGGGGUCCUUCUCUGUGCAGUUUGCUCUUCCCGGCUCUGGUUCCAGUCUGCAGUCACCUGACUCCAUGUAUCCCCUGAUUUUGUUACCACCACAGAAAGAGAAAUUAUAGCCUUCAAGCCUCCACUUUCUUUCUCUUAGCUAUAGCCCUCAAGUUCCAAUCUGUCUGCCCAUUUAACACAGUUUCUUUGUUGUUGGUGUUUUGUUUUUUGUUUGUGUGUGUGUGUGGGGGGGGGUUGACUCAGAGUGUCAGGGUGGUUAUACUAAAAACAAACAAACAACACAUAGCAAAAACUACUGUAGCGUUGUGUGUACAUUUUAUACACAGAGAAUUGUAAAGAGUCUUGAAUUUUUGAUGGGAGGAAAAAAGAAAGAAAAGAAAAACACCCUGGUGGGAACACAAAACAGCACAGAGAACACAUAAUCGUGACCCUCAUAACUGAGAUUGCCAUGUGUCGUAUUAAACGCCACCAUUUACCUAGAUGUCUUGCUUGAUAGAGACAGUGAGAUGCCUUACAGAUUUUACACAAACACGUCAUUCAAAGCCUUGCUGAUCUAUUUUCUUGUGUAUGAUGUUUGGUUGGGUCCUUCAAAGGGCUUCAAGGGUUACUUUUAUAUUUACAAAGACUGAAGAUGAAAGCUGUUAUUUGAAUGCAGCUUUGCAUUCGGUGGUACCAAGAUGCUUAUUAGAAGUGCCCUGAUGAGACUGUGGAGUGGCACCUGUGUAUCACUCUCCUCUAGUGUGUACUUAGGUGUUCUGGCUGCCUAAGAAGCAGCUUAGCUUUAAUGAAAGGAUAGUAAACAACAUAAAUUAUAAAAGACAUCUGCUAAGGAGAUCAAGAAAGGGGAGGAGGAAAAAUGUAGGUAAUAAAAAGAGAAAGGGGGUGAGAGAGAGAAGAGAGGAGAAAGGAGAAAGAGAGAGGAGAGAGAGGGAGGAGAAAGAGAGGAGAGAGAAGGAGGAGAGAAAGAGGAAAGAGAGAGAGGAGAGAGAGAGAGAGAGAGAGAGAGAGAGAGAGAGAGAGAGAGAGAGAGAGAGAGAGAGAGAAAUGCUGGAGUGUGUGUACAUGGAGACACUGGGCAGAGAGGAAAGUCUGACAGGCAGAGAACAAAGUGUUUCCAGGGAUCUCAAAGAAAUGGUGAACCUUAAUCACACCCUAAUUUUAGGGUAUAGCGAACCAACCUCUUUAAGUUCCUCAGGGACAUGCACGUACGUAGCUGUGGUUCCUACUGGAUUGCCAUUGAACAUGUAGAUGGAGCUGCCUUCAUUCUCCUUCAUGGGAUUUUUUUUUUCCUUGACUCCAGAGCCUAUGCAAAACAACAAAAAGACCCUCUCUUGAACUCAGGCAAACUAUCCAAAGCUCUUUCUUACCUUUCACAGGGAUGGCUUCCUCUCCAACAGCCCAUAAGGACUGCUCACUUGGACCCUCCUACACUUUGCUAGCUUAUGAUUAAUUUUAGCAGCCCAGAAGUUGCCAACUUUCAUAAACACACCUUUUCAAUUACAAGAGUCCUUGUUAAAGGUAAGCUAAUAAUUUUAGCUACCUCCAGACUAUGAUUUAACUAUGAAUAUUCCUUUUCCACAGAAAACUAACCUUGUGUAUUUCCAUCCAAAAAAGCAUCUAAAAUAUUUUUAAAUGCUUCAAUUAUCAAUGAAAUUUACUUGUACUCUAAAAUAUCUUAAAUAUAUAGUUUAGCGUUUUAUUAUCUCAUUUCUUUGAAGAGUCAACCUUACUAGUGGCAUCGUGCUAUUUUAUACAGUUCUCACAGCCUGUGAUCAUUGUUGAAAUGUUGAGUUCUCAGGGAAGAAAUAUUGUGAUUCAGUAAUGUGAUUUGAAUGUAAAAGUGUUUCCUAUCAAUAUUGAAUUAGAGAAGUCUAGCAAACUAGGAAAAAAAAAGGAAAAAGAAAUAAAUAAUGCCUCACUCCCCCCAAAACAUUGUUUCUUGUUGCUGAUUAUUGAUUUUUCUUAGGUUGAUUAUUGUGUAUUUUUUCUUUAAAUGUAUUUCUCUUAUUUUUAUUCCCAAAGACUGUGGCUAUGGCUGUUUUUCUUCAACGCUAUCUUUUUUAAACCUCAUAGCCUGUCCUUUUCCUGGAUAGUCUGCUUUCAGUGUCUUUUGGAUCUGAGCUCUGGGAGGUCUCUGAGGAUCCAGCUCAAGAGAGAGAAUGACCCUGUUGGCAAGCAGUAUGACUCAGGGUAUAAACCACUUGACUUGUCCUCCUGGCAGAGGCUCCCCUGGCGUGGGGAGAAGCUGAAGAGGCCUGUUUUCUAGUUGAAAGUUUCCCAUCAUGCCAGUCUCCUUCAGCCUGUGUCACUAAGGAUUCCAUUACAGUUAGUAGAGCAGUGGUCAAGGUCGGAUAGAGAAAAUCAACAGGGCUGAGUAAGCAUGGUGUGUAUACUUUAAAAAAUUUUAAAGCCGAGUCUUGCACUUCAAGAUACAGAAUGUUGAGAUAUUAUGAGAAGAACACACACCCAUAGCUACUGCAGUAGCCCCAGUGCAGAGCCCUGGACUGCUUUAUGCCAGUGAACAAGCAAGAGACAUAGACCCUCUUAGCAUAGUGUGCGCUAAAGUUUGUAAGGCAAUAAAUAUCUCACAUCCUUUCCCCUCAGCACAUACAUCUGCAUUUAGAGAGGGAGGUUUCCUCCAGAUAUUGAUCUCCAAAGGUGAGCUGCAACUUGUAGAAUUCUUCAUGUUCUAGGCAGGAGGACUGAGAUGACAUCAAAGGCAGAUUGCGACGUGGUUUAAUUGAGAAUAAAAGUUAUGCUUCCAGCCAAGCUGGUGUUUGUUUUCCACAAGUGUACUGAUGUUUUCAGUCCCCUUUAGGUGGGGGUCACUUUAACACCAAAUAUGAAGUAUGAAUUUUGAUGACUAAUAUUAGCAAUAUCUUUAAGAUGCUAAUGUCCUUCCCUGUUGAUCAUAAUAGCUAGCCCUAAAAUGUGUGUGUGUGUGAAUAGAGUUUAGAUAAAAUAGUUAUGCGAUUACCUAAUAGCCUCAUUAUCCUUCAUGAUACUUCUUUUUGAAUUCUCAAGUGUUUUGUAAUGCCUCUCAGCCUCCCUCCCCUCCCCCUCCCCUCCCUCUUUCCCUCUUUCUUUCUUACCCUGACAUUUCCAGAAGCUAAAGAAAUUUAAGAAUUGCAGGAUCUUGUAAAAGGUACAGGAAAGUACAAACUGUGUUUAUUUGUUUUUAAAUUUGUUAUAUAAUUUAAAAAAAAAGAUUCCCAGUGCAAUUUCUUGGUCUAUUACCCCUGACAGCUACGAUUAAUUAUAUUUUAACCUGUUAAGGGCUCACUUUCUCAAGUAUAUUAAACUAAGUUUUCUGCAAACACUGAACUCAUCUGAGUAGUGGGGAUGGGUGUCCAGGCAGACAGGAAGAAAAGCACACUCUUUCUCAGUAGACAGCCUUUCUUUGUCUCCCAGCCCUGGCCUUUGCACCUACACAUUGCCUGGCAUGACGGGGAGGCCAAGCAGAUGGCCUUCGCUGUGGAAGCCAGGGCUCUGGGCCCACGAGAUGAAACCUGCAUGCUUGGGAAGGCUGAGACAGUCGCCAAGGUUUCAUGUGUAAUAAAGUACUCGCUGCCUCUCCAGUAAUGAUAUCCUGGGGGCUGCUGUGAGGAGGUUCUUUUCACUAGAAACAUACUCGUAGGAAUUUAAUACUAUCUUGCUAAACCCUUUGAUUGAAUAAGGUUUUAAUUUUUUAAAAAAAGAAUUCUUCUUACUUUGUAGACUCCAAGAUGUGAGCAAGUAUGAAUUCUUACUCUAGGAUCAACAUCUCUACUAAGCUCGGGAUUCUUUUGCCUUCUUAAUCACGCGCUUCAACAAAUAAAAUAUCUUACCGUUGCCUGUCUUUUUUCUUUUUUUUUUUUCCCCCUUUUACAGCCUGCCUGAAAUACUCUUCGGUUAAAUAAUAUUUGUUAGGCUUUGAUGCAAUCAAGUGAAAUUUGAGUCUUCGGAGCGAUUCAGCCUCGCCUCGUGGAGACCGCACAUGUGUGUCAGCUUUGAGUUUUUCUCACCAGUGUUUUACACAUGAAAUCUAUUUUUCCUUGAGAAAAUGGAAUCUUUGUGUCUUUGUCUGGAAGGCUCGCUGUGCUCAGGCGUGUUCCGGCAGGAGCUGUGACUGCCAAGGCCCUGGGGGAGGGGCCUGGCAGUCAUUUGUCAGCUGUCCUGCAUCUGUAAUUUCUGGCCACUCAGCACUAUCAGAGUCUUAGAAACGGGGCCCGAAGGGUGGGGGAAAGAGCUUGUCAUUGAUGAAAGACAAACCCCAAAUAACUGCCUGAUGUUGAUGACCAAAGGGAAGAGAGAGUAUGAAAAACUUUUAUUGUGUCCUUUAAUGAAAAGGAUUUUCAUUUGAAAUAGCUAAUUUAUGAAAUUGCACAUGGUAACAUUUCCAGAUCUCAGUCUAGAAAGGCCGUGUCCAUAUUGUGUUACCAAUUUCACUGCUUUUACCUUGGCAAGCGCUCCUGAAAGUAUUUUAAUUUUCUGCCAUUGACUUCUGGUUAUUUCUGCUCUUGUGCCCUUGUAACAAAACUGACAGCACAAUUAAACAUCUGCAUUUUAAAACUGGGUUUCUCCCCUGACUAUUUUGCUUUGCUUCUAAAAUUUCCAGAUGUUUUGGGUUCUUUAUGAUUUUAAUGUAUGCAAAUACAUUUGCUUAUACUUUAGAGAAAAUGGAGAGGGAAGAGAGGGAGGGGAGGGAGAAGAGAGAGACAAAGACAGAGACACAGGGAGACUGAGAGAAACAGAGACAAGACAGAGUAUAUACUAACUUGGAUUGAGCAGAAGAAAAGCUUAGUAAUAAUACAUCAAGCAGCAAAUCAAUAUUUUCCCCGUUUGUAGAUUUACAUUAGAAUACAUUGUGGUCCUUAGCACUUUACUAUUUUAUUUGAAUUUUGCAACUCAGUUUUGUGACUAGAAUUCGGGAUUCACACCUCGGUGUCCUCAUAACUGGGUAGAGGCAUGCUACUCUCUGUCUUUUCAUUUCAGGGAGAGAUAAGUUGAGGGGUAGGAGAAGAAACAAUGUAUUUCAAAUGAGCAUAUGGCUUUGUGGAACUUAAGGGGAUUGUCAGUAUCUUGCCGGAAGUGUUUGAACGUGAGGUAUAAGAGUGUCCCUAACAUUUUAAGGAAGUCCAUUUCCCAUAAUUAAUAACAGGAAACUGGUAAACAGAUUCUUGUGUACAAGUGAAUCCAAACGGUAACAUAAACGAAAGCAAGGAAAGACCCAAACGCACCUCGUUCAUUUACUCCCAAGGAUUAUGUUGUGGUAUCCAAGUGGUUCAGGCCAGAAAGACUUAGGAGAUGUGUGUUGCCAUAAUCCUUGGGAGUAAAUGAGUACUCAUUUUCCAUUCCUGACUGUCUAGGACAUGUGCUAGGGAGAGUGCAGCCAUUUCUUCCAUAGUCUAAGGUCUGCAAGGGAUCUCAGACAACUGACAUAGUUAGUAGAAAAAUGGCAAGUAAUUAUGAAGGAAGACAAUGUAUUAUAAAAAUAUUAUUUUAAUAUGUUUAGGCCCAUUUCUACUGUAUCCUAUGGGAGAUGGUAAGACCUAGUAAGGGAAUUUGUGUACAUUUAAGGUGUUUGGAGAAGUCGAUGAGUAGAUUUGUGAGUCUCAAACUAAAUGCAUCAUUAAUUAGACAGAUAACAGGGCAGGGCGAUUGACCCACUUCUGCACAGAGCUCUGGGCUAAGCUCUCUGAGAACUGACAGGUCUUUAUCUUCUAAUUGUAUCAAAAAAUGGGGACUGUCUGAUCCCAGCGCUGACCUUGAAAGCAGCAAACUGAAGUGAUAUAUUGUGUCCCUGGGUUUUGGGGUUUUGUUUUCUUUCUUUCUUUUUUUUUUUUUCUUUUUUUUUUUCAGAAAUGUUGAAUUCGAUCUCAAAGUUUGAAGUUUCAAAAGCAGAAUUAGCUGCUUUAUUUAUAUUGAAUUUUUAGAGUGAAUCAUUUCCUCUCUGAAGGGGAACAAAGGCCUGUAAGAGAAAGGCGAUUGCCCUGCAAAGGUUAAACAUAAGACACAGCCCAACUAAAAGUGCAUCCUUACUUCUGUAAGAUGGGGAGAAAAAGAAGGAAAGCUAACCAAGGUGAGGGUCAGUUUCAUUUAUUAGGUCCAUGCAGUGUAAGUGAGAAUGCAUGCUACCCAUGCUAUCAGAGCAGACACAGCUCCACGGUACCAGGGAGCUGCAGACAUCAGACCAGGCCUUAGUUCCAGAAAGACGAGGCUAAACAAUGCUCUGCAUGGCAGGGCUUCUGGGAUGCACAGACUCAUAGAUGACCCUGGACUUGUAAACCUUGCCAUCUUAGCCAACCCGUCAGCACCUAUAGAGUUAAAGCAGAGAAGUUGCACUAAACAUUAAAUAGGCCUAAAUAUUAGUGUGUUUGUGUGUGCACACACAUGCUUGUGCACAGGCAUGCACACGUGCUCGCGUGUGUACGUGCAUAUGGAUAAAAAGAAGUGGAUAUGUCUCAAUUUAUCUAUCUAGCAUGUACAUUAUCUGUGUGAAUUUUAAGCAAUGAAGUGAGUAUGUAAAAACACUUAAAUUGGAAAAAUAAGAAUGCAAUUUUGUCAAGUUGGAUAAAAUAAAGAUAUGGUUUUGCUAAACCAAAGAUAAGAUAAUUUUCUAGGCUGUUAAAUCUUAGAAAGCCUAGAGGUAAGAAAUAUAUGCAAAAAUUAAAGUGAAAUAUUUAAGGCAUAUUUUGUUAAGGAUAAGAUGGACAAUGUACAGGGUUGAUUAUUAGCAAAAUUUCAACAGUGUAGUAUUCUCUCAGAUCUCCAUAGAGACAGAUGCAUGCUAGUUAUACGUUGAUAUUUUAGAAAUCAUAAAAUAUGUUCCUUUGUAUUUAAAGUAAAGAUCCUCACUGGAAGCUUUUUAAGGAUAAAGUACAAGGUUUAUUACUUAGUUUUAAACUAUUAUUUAGUUUAAAUACUAAAUAUAAUUUUACAUGAAAGCAAAUGAGGGCUGUAGUUAUAGAUAUGUAAUCAAGUGAGUGCUGUAUGUGGGUUUGAACACUCUGAGAUUGGGGAAGGAGAGGGAGGGAAGGAGAGAGGGAGAGAGGAGAAGAAGGAGGAGGAAGAAGAUGAAGAGGAGGAAGAAGAAAUUAAAAUUAUUUAUUUUUUACAGGAUCAUUCACUCUGUCGUAUGCUCAUGCUGUAAUAUUUAAAGAUGUUCAUUUGUGAAAAUCCUUUGUCCUAAGAAGUAUGUAGUUGCUGUGAGUUAGUGUUCAGUAGAGUGAUCAAAGCCACCAAGACCUGGUUAGGCUGAUUUCUCAGGUUGUGUAGAACUGUUGAUGGCUGUGACAACGGUUCUUCCUUGCGCUGACGCCAGUAGAACAUAAUGGUUAAGACCCUCAAAGAGGCUAACAGGGGAAAUUUAGUAUAUUUUAAAAAGAGAACCACAAAAGGCCUUGUGCAUAAUUGUCACACCAAAUCAUCUUCUUGGUCUAGGAAAGUACUAAGACUGUAGUGGUGGCUCUGUGUAUCAUCCACACACGAGGGGACCGAGACAAGGAAGAGCAUCACACUUGGAAGCAAGCUUAGUCUCCAGGUAAGUUCUAGGGCAGCCUGAGCUACAGAUGGAGAAUCCAUCGCAGAACACAAAACAACAAAAUUUGCUUUACUUCUUAAAAAUGACAUGUAGAAGAAAACAAUAUUAUAGUGUAUGAACUAUAAUAUUGUGUAUUCCCCCGGAGUUGGACAAAUGUCUAUAUCAAAAGGGGCUGUUAGCGUAGGUCAGUGGAGGGCUGACUGACUCGAGUAUACACGACCCUUGACUGAAGAGCUAAGAUUUAUAAAGCAAAGUCUUUAUUUAGGUCUACGGAAAUGAUCUCAGCUCAGUUUCAAACAAUAUGGACACCAGUUUCACUCUCCUGUUUGUUCAUCCCUUCAGUGAGUGACAGAUGGUUUCUCUGUCUUCUCUUCUAUUUUUCUCCUGCUUCUCAUUUAUUUUUCAGUAACCUGUUUCAAAAACACCGAGAAUCUGCUUCCUGGGUCUUGAGUCUGCUAUUUGUUUAUGUACAAAUUUUCUUUUGUCCAUACUUAAAAGAGAUAAAAAUGCUUGCAUAUAGAAGGAAGCUAGCAAGAAUUAGCCUUAGCAACAAUGUAACACAACUGGUUCAGAACGAAUUUGUAGUAGGAGCCAGAAGGCUUCUGUAGUUUGAAAAGUAUCAACUGGGCCUUGGGCUAGCCUCAUGAACAGAAUACACGGAAGAGGAGUGAAGUAGCUAGUGCUUUGGUGUAUUUCUUUCACAUAAUUCAGAAGUUUGGACAUUCCCUUCCUGUUCCUUCUGAAGAUUGCUUAUCAUCAAGCAAACAUCUAAGACUGUCUCACAGUACCCCAAACAGGGAUGUUCUUUCAAAUUCUGGAGAUCCUUUUGUCUUGCGUUUUUGUGUAUUUAAGUGACCACAUCCCUACACAUUUCCUGUCUUUGUCAUUUUUUUCUAAACACUGUAACCUGUAAUAUACACUGGGCCCACAGGAAGAAAUUAUGUUAUUUUGUUAAUAAUGUGCUAGCAGCAGACAUUAUUAAGACAGAGGAGCAAUUUUUAACAUCUUUUCAAUCAUAAACAAAUGAUGGUUGUAAUGGCCCUGCACUGAACUAACAAUUAAAAUUUUACAGGCAGUAUAAUUAUAGGUCAGGAAUGGACAUAUAUAAUGUAAUUAAAUAUCAGAAUAACACUCAUUUUUCCCAUGAUAAAUAACAGAAUCUACUCAAGAUAUAUUAAAAAGAAUUGUCUGCCUCAUAACAAGAGCCAGUAAGGUUUCAUUGCUGCCAGAGAAUUUCUUCCUUCAGCUGCCCCUUUCCCACCAUUUACAAAUAGAAUCAAAUCCACUUGGCUAGACAUGGAAAAUUGUGUUUAUAAAUUCUAAUUUUAGAAAGCAAAAAUACAGCAUUUGUCUUAGUGGCUUAACAAGUAUUCAUAACAACCCCACCUAUAGUACAUUUUUAAAAAACUAAUUGAGCCCUGUUUGUUUUUGACAAAAGUCUAUAGCAUUUCAGAAGGCAAUUUUAAGUAGAAGUUGUGUUAUUAUUAUUAUUAUUAUUACUAUUAUUAUUUAAAUCUAAGUAAGAAACAUAAAUGUUGCUUGAAAAGAGUCCCAAUAUUAAUGAACUCUGGAUUCUCAGAAUAGUCUGUAGAAAAACCAAGCACACGUGAUUCAUCUCAAAUUUUGCUUGCUGCCUGAUAAAUGAUUUGUUGAAAACUUAUUCUCACAUGAGACACAUGCUUUCCUUCGCAGAAAAUGAGAGAAUGCGCGGGCAGCUCUUGAAUUGAAUGGGUGCUACACCAUUUGGCGUGGGCUGCAGCUGCUCCAGAGAGUUUUCAGUUCUGCUUUUCAGGGUGAUGGGACAUGCUUACGCCCACCUACAGAUGAGCAGGCAAAACACCUCUGCCUGGGUCUAGAGAUUCUUAAUUCCCUCCCUAAGUACCAAUCACUCUUAAAAACAGGCGGUGUGCCUAUAUAUAUGGCAAGUCUGAUGACUUCACUGGAUUUUCACAUUUCCUAGGGGAGGAACAGUCAUCUUUAGUCCUUUAUAUCAAAGAAGAACAGGGGUAUUGGAGGACAAAAUUCUGCCUCCACCCUCUGGUUAUCAUACCAACUCCUAUAGUUCUAGACUAAAAGUUAUUUCGCUAAAAUGCUCAAAGCAAUACCAUUGAAAUUAAAUUUACUUUUUCCUUUAGUCAUAUUUUCUUUUAUCAUUCAUCAUGAAGUAAUAUGUUUUAAAAGAAAAUUUUUCCUAACACUGUGGAUUAUAGUAGUAAUUAGCAGUACACUGUAUUUACCAAAAUACUUUCUUUAUUUUCAUGUCAUGUUGUUAAUUUCCCAUCUGUAAUCUAAGAAGUAUUCGUCUAUGGCUUGAUGUUCUGUGGAAAAAAAUAUCUUUUAUGCUUGUUAUAGGCUUAGUAAAUUUAAAUGUUCAAAAUAUUUGCAGUUGUAAGAGAUAGAAUAUUUUAAUUAGAUUGGAACCUGCUGGACCCUGAGCCUGAAGAAUGUUACCACAUUCUAUUGUCCUCUUCCCUGUACCCACUGGGAUCAUCAGAAAAAAAGAAAUGCAACUCUUCUAUAAUCUUUUCAAAAUUAUAUAAAAUUUGCAACAGUGCUUAAGCAUCCGGGAAUUUCAUAAAUAUUAUCUCCAAAGAGACAGAAUCGAGCACCAAUAGCUCUGACAGAACAAGUGAUUACAAACUACACUUCAGCAAGUGUGUGCGCGUGCGCUGUAGUGCCUCUGCAGCAAGAAAAAGCUCGGGUUUCCCUUCCCUCCAACAAGGGAAGGAACAUUGAAGAGAAACAGUAUUUUCAUUGGAACAAAAUGGACACACCUGGUAAGGGAUGGCCGUGUUCGCAGAAAAUGCUCCACUUGCUCUUGGUUCUCCUUGCUGAGGGUGGUCUGUACAACUCAUGAGACUUCUUUCUCUAUUCUAGGCAGUCCUUCCCUUUUCCACUAAACACAAAUAACCUCAGGCAGAAGAAAAGAAGAACUCCCUACUCCCUGCACUCUUCUGCCUCCCACACUUACUUCCUCUGAUCAGUGAGUCAAACCAUACUAAGGACAGAAUUUGUGAAAAAACAAAAACAAACAAACAAACAAACACCCUAAAGGGAAUAAAGAAACACCCAAUACAUCAUUACUAGAGAAGAGAAGUGUCUAAAAUUAUCUUUGAACACAUACAAGCAUACAAGAUGCUCACUUCUUUUGAUUUAAGAAUAAGCCAUUGGUAAACAUUAUUAAAUAAUCAAUUAUUUAGCUUCCCAUGACUAAUGGAAAAGAUGGAGUACUUUUCGUUUGCUUUGCUUUACUUUGCUUUGUAUUGGGGAGGGGCUUUGUUAGAUUGAACUUCGCUGAUUGUUUAGAAAGCAUGUUUCAUGUCCAACUCUCUGUUAUUCUAGUUCUUUCUUGGCAGAGCAAAUGAAGGAUGUAAAUGGUGCACAGCACAUUGAGUUUCCAGAGGAGGAGGUUACAAAAAAGAAUGAAGUGAAUAUCGAACUCAGGAGGCAGAGAGUCACCCUGAGUCAGAGGUGAGCCUCCUAGAGUAUGUGAAAUGAACAUUGUGUGUGUGUGUGGGGGGGGGGGGGAUGACGCACAUGUAUGUGAGAGGAAAGACUUUAGUAUCAGUAUCUGGUUUUCCUGACUAAAACUAAGCAGCUGUAAAAUGUGCUAGCAUGCUAAACACCUAGGUGCCUAACAAUGACUAAACUUGUAUUCAGGAAUAAUAAGAAAAGAAUAAGCAGGAACUCUGUUGUUCUGAUAUGAAUUCUCUAGUCCAAUAUGGUCAUUUUAAUGAAAUCUUUUGGCAAAUUUAUUAAUGUGUUCAAGAAAUGCAUGGCUGGUUAAAGAGGCAUUUUGGGAGAAAAAAAAAAAACAUGUCCUUGGAUAAUGUAUCAGAAUAAGCAAAUAUGUCAAUAACUAGAACUAGCAAUAAACUUAUAUUUUAACAUUUAACAACUUGUUUAGUGUAUCUCUGGGUACCCUUUUUGUGACUAUGCAAAUUUGAAAUACACAUAUCUUAAACCCAAGUAACAUGGGCAACAUGGCUCACAGAGACUUAGCAUAGCCCUGUACAGAAUGUUAGCUGUAGAUGCUCAAAAUGUCUUGCUGUACAUGGGUUUUCAGUACACAAAAUCCAAAGCAUAGCUGAAAAUCAUGCUGCCCAUUUCCUUCAAACAAAUUAGAAGUUCUUUAUGAAACCAGUCCUUUAACAUCCAUUUUGUCCAAAAUCUGCUCAAAAUACUUUAUACAUUAACUCAAAUCUCUUCUUGGAUCUGUAGAAUAAAAACACAGGGAAAAUGUGAAAUUUGGUGGCCAGAACAGUAGCUUUGAAGCUCUGGGACCUGGCAUGACUCGUGACACAAAGCAUGUCACCCAGGCCUCUCUGAGAGCUGGCUUAAUCCUGACAUUGAGCUCCCUGGAGAAUAAGUUGGAGAAUAAUUAUCCUAUGAAUGUCAUACAAUGGAACCUUCUCAUAAGGACACUUUUUAAAUCAACAUCAAGUUGAACCUUAGUACAGUCUUGGGGAAAAAUAAAACCUUGGUGCCAAUUUAACUAUUUCCAAGCUCCAGCUACGUCUUGACAUCUACACUGCCGUGCACACCCUGGGGAAGCACACUGUUCUAAAGGGUGUUCUCUUCACCCUUACACAAUCCUUCCAGACCUGUUCUACAACAACAGUCAUGAUGUCUUGUUGGCAUAAAAGAGAAAUCACACAGACCACUGUUCAAACAUUUUAACAGCUUUAAAAUAAAACCUCAAAUCUUACCCAUGGCUAUAAGUACCCUACAUGACCCGCCCAUUCACUUCUUCAUUGUGCCUCUUACCACCCCCUUCCUAGUCACUCUGUUUUGACUACAAUGACCUCUUUGUUCUUCCCUGUUCACCAUAAUGACGUUUGUAUUUCAGGCCAUUUAUACUCCUGUAUUUCUGGUCUUGAAAUUUCUGGAGUUUAUGUUUUCCCCAAAUCUUUUCGUUCACAACUUAGGUAAAAUAUUUCUUAGGUGCAUCUUUCUCAACACAUGUGUAUAUAAUCUCAAAGCUCACUUUCACUGAACUUUGAUUUCUCAUCUCAGUAUUUAUGGCAUAUAUGGUUAUAUUCUAAUAUGUCUGUAUGGUGAGCUAGGAACUUUGUUAACCAUUUGUUUACCAUUAUCUCCUAUGCAUUGAGAAGACUGCUAGGAGUUAAAUGUGGAAUCAAUAAAUAUUUAUUGAAUAAAAAGAAAUAGCUAACAAUCAGAUGCAGAAGAAUAGAGAGCACAUGACCUCUUUGGCUUAUAUUUAUUUCUUGAACUUUCCAGUCAUCUCUUCUCCUGGUUAUAUAAUGGUACUUCUAUUUUAAAAUGCCUGUGCCAUGGCUUAUUUGAUGAGCUCACCAUUGUACUCUAUAAUGAUUGAUGCCAUUAUCUUCAAUACUGGCCAUUUGCUGAACACAGACUUACAAAGUCAUGGAAAAUUAGGAAAAUGAAUUUAUAUAAUAUAAAUCAAACAACUCCAAUCUGAAUUUCAAUUACAAAGGGUAGUUUUAUUCAGACUGUUGAAAUAAAUAAGGCUCUUUGAAUGCUAUCAUUCAGACAGAAAGAACUUGGUACUUUCAAUAUUUCUAGAGAUAUUUCAGUCAUAGGAUUGCCUCUUUGAUGUCUUCAUGGUUGUUUUUCCCCUAAGUCCUUACCCAUUAAUUCAAUAUUUCAAUAAACAUUCACUUGGCAUUCACUGUAUCAAGGGCUUCUGUUGAGGAAAUGAGACCUCCAUUUAUGGAAUAGUCUUCAAAAGAUGAAGAGAUACUACAAAAGGAAAAUACGAUAAGUAUUAUGAACAGGAUAGAGCUAUAAAGUUAUUGGACUUUAAAGGGAUUCUAUUUGUUAAGUAUGGUUAGGGGAGAUGAAUCUUAGAUGAUUCAAUCUCAGUUGGACUGCAUCUGAGUGUUCAAAAAGAAGUAAAGAAAAAUCAUUUCAAUAGGAGGAAAUAGCAUAAGCAGCCAUGAAAGCUAUAUGGGAUCAUCAAUAGCUUCACAUAAUGAUAGGAAACUUGGGCUAUGAGUGUUUAUAUGCCUACACUGUAGACGAGGGUUCUUACUCUUUUAUAAAAGCUAAAUACGCUUGGAUACACAGUGGACAUGUGUUCUUCAAGAAAAAAUUAUUUCUAUUGUUUUCUCCAGGUUAUAAUUUAAAAACCAAAAGAAAUUCUCAAAGAUCAAAGUAGAUUAGAAAAGUCACCAAGUAAUAUACACCAUUGAGAAGAGUGGCCACAUGACCAGCUUUGAGCUCUUGCAGAUAGAAAUGACAUAAUCGUUAAAUGAUUCUUUGACAUUGUUGUAAUCAGGAUAUGAGGGACAUACUGCUUAAAUUUGUUAAAGUUAUCAGGGAUCAGCCCAUAUGGUGAGAUGUGUACAUGUGCAUGAACAGUGAAGUACUUCUAGUUUUGCAUGCCCAGUGAGUACACACCUGGGAAACAUGCAGACCCUUGCAGAAAUCUGCUCUUCUAUUUUGGUAUUUCUAGUGAGCGGCAACAGGUUGUCUCCCAUGUGCAAGUAAUUGCAACUCCACUAUAAAGUUCUUGAUCUGGUCCAACUUAUUGUGUUGUGUUCUACAUACAGAAAAGCACAAUCCUUUUUGUUGUUGGCGGUGGUUACUUUUAAAUAUUCUUGUAGAAACUGGAUCCUUAGCAAGGAAGAACAGCUAUGAGAGUUGCUGGAAUGAGCAUUGCCAUCCCUUCUUUGAGGAGGCUCCUGAGAAUCAAGGGUGACUAGUGAACGUUCUUCUCAUGUGCACUACAGGUGUGCUUUAUACUCACAGGCAUAACGUUACAUUUAGUCUGAAACCACACUGAUUGGUUUGUCUGUAAGGACAGGGCUAACAAGGGGAAACGGCUACUUAUUUUUAAUUCCUCAAUUAACAACAUUACAUUUCAUACUCCAACCCUAGUAUCUCAUUUCAGGAAACCUGAAGUAACUCAUGUGAAUGAGUGCCUGAAUUCACCUUUGGAAAGGUAAACUCCAUCCUCUCAUACUUGGGUUUGUCACCUUCUAAUGGCUGUCAACUCUCUAAUAAAAGUACUUGCAAAACACA